rnacentral:lncRNA from 1 species
ACAAAUGAAGAAAAGAGCACAAAUGACGUUGGCAAACCUGAAACUUUCCCAUUGGGCAAUAAACAUUACUCCAGUCAAAAACAUUAUGGAAGAGGCAAACCUGAAACUUUCCCAUUGGGCAAUAAACAUUACUCCAGUCAAAGACAUUAUGGAAGAGGCAAACCUGAAACUUUCCCAUUGGGCAAUAAACAUUACUCCAGUCAAAGACAUUAUGGAAGAGGCAAACCUGAAACUUUCCCAUUGGGCAAUAAACAUUACUCCAGUCAAAAACAUUAUGGAAGAGGCAAACCUGAAACUUUCCCAUUGGGCAAUCAGCAUUACUCCAGUCAAAAAAAGUAUGGAAGAGGUGCUUCUCCAUCCGACAAUCAACCACCAAUUCCAUAGAAAUUCAAACACGGCUACUUUCUUGCCACGAGAAAGCGCUCAAUCGAUCCCCUUCUCCUCUAACAAACUACCAGAAAUUUUCAACCAUUUUUCAGUGAAGCCAACAUCUGAGGAAGCCAAAACAAUUAAGCAAACAAUCGAAGAGUGUGAAGCUCCAGACCUUAAGGGAGAGGAAAUAUAUUGCGCCACAUCUUUAGAAUCAAUGGUUGAUUUUAGCACUUCGAAGCUUGGAACAAGAAACGUUGAAGCAAUCUCGACGGAGGUAUUGGAAAAAGGAGCCACCAUGUCCAUCCAAAACUAUACAACAAUGCCGGGACUGAAGAAGUUGGCAGGUGACAAAGUCGUUGUGUGUCAUAAGCAGAACUAUCCCUAUGCUGUGUUUUUCUGCCAUGCAAUAAAACAUACAGCAGCUUAUGCUCUCUCCCUGAAAGGCGAUGAUGGGGAGAAGGUUAAAGCAGUAACCAUCUGCCAUCUAGACACAUCAGAAUGGGACCCAGAGCAUAUGUCCUUCAAAAUCGUCAACGUUAAGCCCGGAACCAUUCCCAUCUGCCAUUUCAUUUCCACUGAUGCUAUUGCCUGGGUUCCGAACCACAAAUCUGCAUGAUCAUCACUUAGCACUAGUACUGUGCGUAUAAUAUGCCUGUAUAAUUAUCUCCCUACUUAUUUCUGCCUGUUCAUCAUGUGGUGUAAGAUAUAUGUUGAGAUGAAGUUUUUGGGAUUAGUGGUCGAAAUUAACCCGAUCAUGUUUUCUCUUGUAACUAUAUAGACUUCAACUUGUACUCAUAAUAAAGCAUGCUAUAUUUAUGAAGAGAUAUUAAUCUUCAGGCAAAUAGAUAUUAUGAAAACAUAUAUAGCAAUUUAUCCAGAAGAAAUAUUAUGAAAUGAAAAGAAUAAAAAGUAAAAAAACAGAAGGAAAGGAAUUCGCACCUGCUAUGUAUGAAAGGACCAAGAUUGUUUUCCCUUUGGUUAAUGACUAGAAAAGCUCACUUGCAGAUUGCUUUCUCUGACCGUAGAUGCAACAGAAAUUUUCUCUUAAUAAUAGCACAAUGAUCGGGUAAUUGUAAGAACAAGUUGAUUUAAAAUUCCUUGACCCAAAAAAAAAAAAAAAAUCAUUUCAAAUUCAGGUCAACCCAUAGAUUUCUUGCCUUUUUCUUCUUCAUCACGUUGGGCUUGUCUUCUUCUUGAGGAUUGUAUAGGCCCAGGAAAUGCUUUGAGGUAGUUUUUGGCCUUGGAAGUUGGGACCCAACCCAACUUCACAAAAAGAAAACAGAUUUGCCAAAAAUCAAAUUUCAAGUCUCUCCUCAGAUCACUAAUACAGAUCAAAUUUUGGAUUUGAUGAACUAAAGUGGUUUUACUUUCUCUGUCAGUGUUUGAUGACUUAAUUUGUUAUUUACUUCUUUUUUUUUUUUUACUUGAUCUUUGUAGGGGUUUUUUUCUUCCGGUAACUUAAACGGGCUGGGCUGCCGUAAAGGGUAGAUUGAUGAAAUUGUCUCCUUUGUCUGAGUUCGAAAAUCAAGCCCCAAAAGCGCUUCGAAAGGGCAGUAGAGCCUUAGGAAGCGUUCUAGUCAUCUUCACCAACUAAAACAACAGCAACUUACAGAUGAUUUCUUAAGGCUUACAGAUAAAUUUUCUAGCUUGGCAUGAGAGGCUUGUGACAUGGAAGCAAAAUCAGCAUGAGUUUAGCACCAAAGAGGAAAAUAUGGCUUCCUAGGGAGAAAUGGGAGUGUUUAAGGUGAGGAAGAAGAGGUUUGCAGGCUGAUUUGGCUGAGGAGAGAGAAAGAAAGAACAAUGUUCUUCCAGUAGCUUGACAAAGCUUCUGACAGAUGUGAAAGUCGUCUGCCAUAAGAGGAAAAUGAAGAAGAAUGGUGAAUAGUGCAUGAAAUUGCUGGGUUUUUGCAGGUAAGAGAGAAAGCUUGCUCUCUGAAUUUGAGUUGGUUUUUGGUUGGGUAGAAGAGGCCCCCUUUUAUAGCUGCGGGAAACCAUCUUUUUUCAAGAAACCCUAAUGGUUUCUAUCCAUUUUGGCCAAGCUUUUCCCUUCAUUUCUCUUCUCCUCCCUUGACUUUUCCUAUCUUGGUGAAAUUUCCUCUGCCUAUUUGCACAAAAUUAGAGAUUUUGAGGAGCUCAAGACCCCUUUCCCGCAGCUGCCUCAGUGGAGAAUCCCCAUUUUCAGUCAUCUUUCUUCCUUCUUUUCUCCCAUCUUCCAAGGUUAGGUCUGAUGAGGGAAAGAAAUGGGUAUGCACACUGGUUUGAAGGGUAUUUUUGCUUGAAACUUGUUCUCUCCCAUGUGCUGGAGCUUCCCAGCAACUUACACACAUGGAUAUUUUGGCUUUCAUCGUGGCUUUUGUUUUCAGCUAGGUGCUGGAGAUUUCGCAGAUAUUUUCAUGAGUUGCUUGGGCCUUCUAGGACAAUAGGUUGGUUUAUCAAGUGAAUGGGCUAACUUCAUCAAUUGUUGGGCUAUUUUGGUUGAGUUAAUGGACUAUUUUGGUUGAAGUAAUGGGCUAUUUUGGUUGAAUUAAUGGGCUAUUUUUCUCUCUUUGUGCUCACCCACAUAUUUGGGCCUAAGAAAUGGGCUUGAGUUCCGGGGCUCCCAAGCAACCCCGGGACUUCCAUUUCUCGGCCCAUCAAUGGGCCUCAUAUCAACUUAUUACCAUCCAUAUCACAACCCACUCAAGCAAGCCCUGGGCAUCUUGCGUGGCUUGGGCCCACUUAAGCUUGUAGCGUGACGUGUUGCUUAUUUGCUUGGCAUGGCAUGUGUGCAAGCGCAUAUGACGAACUUUAGCGUGCCCAAAUUGGGUUUAUUCUCGGUAAGGUAUCGCAUUGGGCCGAGAAUUUAAUUGGGCAGAACUGUGGAUUUUUGGGCCUCAACAAUCUUAUAUAUAUUGGUUUUCUUUUUUUCCUUAAUAUUCACCACCUUUCUGUUGCAUAAGUAUUUCAGUCUUAACGGGUUUCCAUCUACCACUCAUCUUUGCUCUUUUAAGUGUAAGCUUUUUUUUUUUUUUUUUAAGCACAAGAUUAGAGGGGAGGGGGAUUUCUCAAUGUAAGCUUUGCAGUUUCAUAAUUAAUAUUUCCAAUAUCUCACUGUUAGUAAAAUAUGGAACAGGAAAAGUAUGAAUAAAAUACACACAUGUUUUAUUUAGCAAAAUUUUGACAAGAUACAACUGAAAAGUUUGGCCACUAUAUAAUAUUUUGAUAUAAUUUCUACACUUCUUCUCAAAAGAUUAGAUCACUUCACAUCUUGUGUAUGUGAAAACUAAUGUAAAAAGUUGAAACUUUAUCGUAAAACCUCGACAAAAAUGAGCUCUACUAGAAAAUGUUCAAUUUGGAUUCGUUGAUUUAAAUGGCAAUUUGACACUUGAUAGAAAUUUUUACAUACAUGUGUUAGUGUUUGAUCACUUCACAUGUUACUUACUAUAUUUAUUCCACUCAAGUUAGGUAAAUAUUAUUAUCAAACAUUUCAAUUAAUUUGUGAUUUUUUUAUUAUUUAAUCAAUUAUGAAUUAAUGGAUUCUUCUUGUUGUUUUGAAGACCAAUAAAAAAAAAAGGGUAAGGAUGGCUUAUAACUCUGAUAAAACAACAGUGACGUGGACAGCAGAUGUUACACCGUACUGAAGAUUUUUGAAGAUUCUUUAUUUGGGUUUCUUUCAAGAUGAAAACCAUAUUAUCCACAACCACAAUGAAGAAGACAGAAAAUGGAGUAAUUCAGAUGUUACCAGCCAUCCACGACAAACUGAAGUCUGCAAAGCAUUCGUAAUCUAAAGGGAGACUUUGGAAAAGCCCAAAGGAGAGAGAAAAUUUUUAAAAGAAGCAAAAAUGGACAAAAUUGCCCUUAUUUAUUUUUUGAUUUCCUAAGAAAUCCUUUACAUUUGCAUGUCUUUGGUUUGAAAGUUGAGAGGUUAUUCUGUCUUUUUUCAAAAAGCUUUGGCUUUUUCCAAAAGUGAAAGUUUUUUUAUGGGUAAAACCUAAAUUUACUUAAUCCCUAAAAAGGAUGGGGAGGCUGCGCAAUACUUAGCCACGUGUAGGCCAGGAGGCUUUCCAAUUUUAAUAUAUAUAUAAAUUGAAAAAAUAAAAUAAAAAUCAAUCUAUUAUCCUAUAUAAAAUAAAGAUUAUUGCUUCCAUGGGCAGUGCUAUGCACAGGACAGUGCCUGCCCAGCACAAAUUUUUUUUAAAUAAAAAAAAAAAAUCUACAUAUGUUAUAAGCUCAUCCAAAAAAAUAAAAUAAAAUAAAAGUAAAUUCUACAUAUAUGUUGCCCAUCUAGGUGGUUCCAUAUCUUCUCUCUCCUUCUCUUUUGGCUAUUAGACUUCUUGUUUCUCUCUCUCUCUUUGCUACCUCACAUCAGCAAGUUUCUCCCUCUCUUUUUUUGGGGUCAAAUUCUUCCUCUAUUGACAAAAUCUUCUAUUAUCUUGGGUGGGCAACUUGGCAACAACAUCUUCUCUUCUCCUUUUGUCAACAACAAGUAUUAUUCUCAUUCUCUCAUUUGCUAUAUAUCUUUAAUUAUAGUUUUAAUUUAAAAUUGAGUAUUCUAGGGUUUAAUUAGGGAUGAAUUAUAAUUUUAGAAUUUUGUUGAAAUUAAUUAAGGCUUCGAUUAGGGGUGAAUUAUUCUACUGCUUUGGUUUGGAAUUUUGUUAAAAUUGAGUAUUAUAGGGUUUAAUUAUGGAUGAAUUAUAAUUUUUGAUUUUGGUAUUAUUGAGAUGUUAUUAUGAGAAUUUGUUUCAUUUUUUUAUUGGUAUAUUUGAUUAAAAUUCUUUCUACAUAUUAUUCAUAGGCUAUCUUUUAUUAUGUCGGAUCACAAUCGGAAUCCCAAGAGAACAAAGAAUUUGAAUAGUGUUGUUUUGUAUUGCAUUGCAUUUACUUUUGGUUUUAGUUUUGCUUUUAGUGUAAAUUACUCAAAUGGUCCUCAAAUUUGUACCCGAUUUACAUUUUGGUCCAUAAACUAAAUUAUUCAUUCAAAUGGUGCACCAACUCUUUAUUAAUCAGUGCUUUGGUCCUACCGUUAUGUUUUCUAUUAAAUUUAGUCAUGUGAGCAGCACAUGCUACAUUUGUAGGGGUAAAUAAGACUUUUGACCACUUUAUCACCUAUGUAUCACCACUUUAUAACCUAUUUGGAGAACAUAGGUCAGUUAUGGACGGUUUUACAAUUAUAUUUGACGGCAACAUUAACAUAAUGUAACAGUGGGAUCAAUGGAGCGAUUAAUAUAGAGUUGAUGGACCGUUUGAACGAAUAAUUUAAUUGAGGGACCAAAACGUAAAUUGAGUAUAAGUUUGAGGACCAUUUGAGUAAUGUACCCUUCGCUUUUAUAUUUGUUGAACUUUUAUUUAUGGAUAGAUAUGCAUUUGAGGGUAAGACCCAUUAUGUUCCCCCUGACUUGGUGUAUCUUUUUAUGUUUAUUAAUGAAAUUCACUCGAACUGUUGAGUUUAGUAUGUAAGUUUUGCCUAACCGGCUUUUGAAUCCUAGAACCGCCACUGUUGCUCCAUCCUCCAUGCACUUGCAUGUGCUCUUACAAAGUGUGAAGUAGAUUUUGUGUGCUCCAAGUCAUUGACUAGAGCUGAAACAUGGUUAGCUAGAUUUAUAAGGACCCAUCUCUCUAUUUCCUAGACAUAUACCCAUCUCUCUAUAAAUCUAUAUGUAAAACUCAAUUUCAAACUUAAAUGACCAGUAAGAUAUAAGAGGUCAUAGUAUUCCUAUGUUUUUACAUCGUUGCCACCAGACUUCUUAUUUUAUUUAUAAUUUAUUUCAAGCAUUUCAUUAACUGCCAUAAUUGUAAUUAAUACUCCAUAUUAAUAGCAUAUCAAUCACCCCAUUUCUUUUGAUUGCCAUUCCCUCUAACAUAUCGCCCCUUAAAAUUGAAAACCAAAAAAAAAAAAAAUGUAAAUUACAUAUCCAAUAAUGUACCUAUGAAAAAUAUAAAUAUAAAUAUAUACGUAUAAAAAUAUAGGUUUAUUAUUUACCAAAUAAAAAAUAUAAAAAAACUAGGUCAGUUGCUUUGUAAUUGAAAUUUCUAUACAUUUUCCACAAAUUAAAAAUAGGUACACAAUAAUUUAUAGAAAAUAUAGGUGCAUUAUUUAUCCAUAGGUAAAAAUACCUAUAAAUGCACAUAGGUAAAUUAUUUACCCAUAUAUUAUUUUUUUGCUAAGGAUUUACCUUAGUUUUUAGUAGAUUAAUUUACCUACCUAGAGGCAUAGGUAGCUUAAAAAAAUUGUAGCACCUUAGUUGGUUGCAUACUAAUUUACCUACCUAGAGGCAUAGGUUGCUAAGAAAAAAUGUAGGUAAAUUCAUGUACCUAAACACAUAGGGGUCAAAUAGAGAAUAACAUGUUAUUUCCCUUCGAACAAAUUAAUUUCAAACCAUAACAAUAAUUGAAUUCGGAAAUUGGUAUAAAUAAAAGGAAAUAAAUAAGCUAUCAAUUUGAAAAUUAAAAUAAGAAAUGAUCAAGUAGUCAUAUUUGAAAAAAAAGAAAAGAAUAUAUUCUUGGUUUUUAUAGGAACAACGUGUAUAUUCAAACCAAAUGGCAGUAACUACACCAAGCUUUAAUUACUUUUUUUUAAGGCCAAAAGUCACUUUUGGUCUCUGUAGUUUGACACUUCUAUUACUUUUGACGCUGUAGUUUCAAUUCCGUCAAUUUUGCCAUUGUAGUUUCAUAUUUGUAGCAAUUCAAGGACAUGUUAAUAUUAAUGUCAAUUUGUUUAAUGAUGCAAGGGGUAAUUUCGUCAUCCCAAAAUCCUUGAGCAUAAAAGCUUGUCUGAAAUUCUCCCCAUUUCAUAUUAGGGCUCGAAAUUCAACCACUAAUCCCAAUUUUUGAAGAACCCUAUACCCAAAUGACCAAUUUCAAGCCCUAAUAACAAAUUAGGGAAGUUUUAGAUGAGCUUUUAUGCUCAAGGAUUUUGAGUUGAAGAAAUUGCCCCUUGCACUGUCAAAGAAAUUGAUAGGAAUACUGACUUGUCCUUGAAUUGCUACAAAUACAAAAAUACAGGGUCAAAAUUAACAGAAUUUAAACUAUAUGGUCAAAAGUGGUUAAAGUGCCAAACUACAAGGACCAAAAGUGACUUUUAGCCUUUUUGUUUAAAUAAGGAAAAAACUUACCUAUUAAAUCCUUGGAAUCUAUACAAAAUUGAAACACAGUUAAUCAGCAUUGAAUUGCAGCUAAUUUCUUAAACAAGGGUAUUAUAGGAAUUUAAAAAGUAUAACAUUUAAUCCAUUGAGCUUGAUUAGGAAUCUUGAUGAGUUGGAUCCUAGUUAUAUAGUUUCUCUUAUAAAAAUCGGGUUUUAUUUAUAGACAAAUAAAACAAUGGGUUGUAGGUAAGAAAAUAUUAAUUUGAAGGGAAAGUGUCACAUCCUGGGAUCGGCUCCGCCGUAGCACGAUAUUGUCCGCUUUGGGCCCCCCUCUCUGCCCGCACGGUUUUGUUUCUGGGAGCUCACGAGCAACUUCCCAGUGGGUCACCCAUCCUGGGAUUGCUCUGGCCCCCAACUCGCUUAACUUCGGAAUUCCUAUGACUCCGAAGCCAGUGAGCUCCCAAAAGGCCUCGUGCUAGAUGGAUGCGGGUGUGUACAUAUAAGACACAUCACCCCCUCUCCGUUGGUUGAUGUGGGAUCUUACAGAAAGAGUCAAAUUUACUAAAUUAAUAAAGCAUAAAUUGGAAAGGGAAAAGAUCUAGAGGAUGCAUUGUAGGAUUGCUCAUGCCAAUAAUUGCACCCUCUCGAUAUUGAAAAACCUAUUGUGUAUUAUUAUCUUCAAUCAUGAAUGAUGCACCUAAAACCCAAGUGUCCCAAGCCAACCAUUGCGCUCAUACCACUUGUUGCAGUACACAUUCACCCGUUUUUAAAGAAAGAAAUUCUACCAAUCGAUAUUGUCUCAAAUUUAAUCACAUAGGUCUAUUAUGGUUAACCAUAUGUACUUUUAUCGGCCAUAUAGAGGUACCUUUUUCCAACGUGCAACAAUUGUAUUUGAUUCACAAUUAUGUCUGAUAUACAUCACAUCAUGCCACUUGCCUCAAAUGAAUUUAAUUGAGUGAGGCAAUGGGAAGUAAUUAAGCUCUAUAUUGGUGGGUGGAGUGUUACUUCUGGAACCCUCAUCAUUCGUCCAUACAAGGGAACAAUUCCCUUCCUUCUAUAAAAUGGUGAAGCCAGUUGCUAUUGUUUGUUAGAGUUUUAGGAUCUGAGUGUUAGAUUUUGUGAGAAGAGAGAAGAGAAUUUAGUGAAAACUUCCAAUACUGCUCUGCUAUACGUGUAGCAGAGAGAACAUUCUGUUUUGUUAUAUAUUUUCAGUACAACAACACACACUUGGUGUGAGAAGAAAAAUGACUGUUAUGCACAGUACCAGCUGGAUGCUUUCCAUCAAAGUAAUCUCAGCCAUUCACUAUCUAACCAAUCAAGCUAUGACACCUGGACUAAGUAUAAAGAAAUACAACUAAGCAGAAAACAAGACUCUUAAUCCUGAAAUCAACUUAAGCACUUAUAAUUCAACACUCCCCUUUAAGUCUUGAGGUGAUUUCACUCCAAGCAUGCCUCUGAGAUAAUUGAAUCUGUCUUUGGCCAGAGGUUUGGUAAAAAUGUCAGCCAAUUGUUCAUUUGUAGGACAAUAUUCCAGAUUGAUUACCCCUUCUUGCAAUGCAUCCUUGAUGAAGUGAUACCUCCUGUCAAUAUGCUUUGUCUUCUGGUGGAAUACAGGGUUUUUAGUGAUUGCAAUUGCUGAGAUAUUAUCACAAUGCAAUGGAGUAGCUUCAGUUUGAAGCUCUCUAAAGUCUUCUAGCACAAAACGGAGCCAAAUAGCUUGAGUAGUAGCCUCAGCUGCACUGAUGUACUCAGCUUCUGCAGUAGACAGUGCAACACAGUUCUGUUUCACUGAGGCCCAAGAAAAUACUCCACUUCCAAAACUAAACGCAUACCCUGAUGUGCUCUUGCAAUCACCAACUGAUCCUCCCCAAUCACUGUCACAGUAACCAACUAGAAUUGAUCUUUUGCCUUUCACAUAUUCAAGACCAUAGUCCAGAGUUCCUUUGAUGUAUCUCAAAACCCUUUUAGCUGUUCCAUAGUGUCUAUUUGUAGGACAGUGCAUGAAUCUAGCUAGCAAGCUUGAGGCAUACAUGAUGUCUGGUCUUGUAGCAGUUAAGUACAGCAAGCUACCAACAAUGCUUCUGUAUUGUUCUUCAUUUGCAGCUCAACUCCCAUCAUCCUUAGCUAGUUUCUCAGUGGCAACAAGGGGUGUUGUCACAGGUUUGCACUCAGUCAAACCAAACUUGCUCAACAAGGUGCUAGCAUAUUUCUUUUGAUGUAGAAAUAUACUAGACUCAGUCUGAAUAACUCCCAUGCCAAGAAAGUGAUGAAGUAAGCCCAAAUCAGUCAUCUCAUACUUAGCCAUCAUGUCUUCUUUGAAUUCAGCCAACAAUGCUUGACUGCUCCCUGUAUACACAAUAUCGUCUACAUAGAUAGACACAAUUAGAAUCUCCUUAUCUCCCCUUACUUUGGUAUAUAAGGUUGUUUCACUUAAGCUUUUCACAAAACCACAUUGAGUGAAGUAGCUGUCUAUCUCUCCAUACCAAGCCCUUGGGGCUUGCUUCAGACCAUAAAGGGCUUUAUGCAAACGAUAAACCUUGUCUUCUUUACCUUUAAUUACAAAACCUUCAGGCUGACUGACAUAAACUUCCUCUUGCAGCACACCAUUAAGGAAAGCAGACUUCACAUCAAGCUGGAACAAUUUCCAAUCCUUUUGAGCAGCUAGAGCAAUAAGUGUUCUAAUGGUGUCCAAUCUGGCUAUAGGUGCAUAAGUCUCAUUAUAAUCCAGUCCAGGCUUCUGAGCAUACCCCUUAGCCACUAAUCUUGCUUUAUUCUUUUGCACUGAGCCAUCCAAAUUCAGCUUUGUCUUGUACACCCACUUAACUCCAAUCACUGGUUUUUCAGUUAGUCUAUCUACCAAUUCCCAUGUUUCAUUCUUUUCAAUCAUCUGCAGUUCAUCUUCCAUAGCCUUAAGCCAAGAUUCAUCCUGAGCAACAUCAGCAUAUUUUUCUGGUUCCAUGAUACACAAGUUACACUGAGCUAGAACAUCAUCUAGCCUUCUCCAUUUUAGAGGGGUGUGAUCAUAAGCUUGAGUUCUCCUUUCUUCACUGCUUAUAUCACCUGGAGUUGAUGAAAUGCUCUCUUGCAUAUCCAAAGUUUGAGGUGUACCAGUAGAAUUCUCAUUAGAACUGUCAGAUUUCAAGUCCAAAUCAACUUGGUUUUCAAUUGAGUAUGUUGUCAUAACUGAACCAUUUUUGUUUGUCCAAUGCCAAGCAUUUUCUUCAUCAAAUGUCACAUCCCUUGAUAGUAAAAGCUUGUUAGAAACAGGAUCAAAAACUCUAUAUCCUUUUUCACAAGUUGCAUAUCCCACAAACACUCCCUUUGUACUCUUAGGAUCCCGCUUGUGUCUCAAUUCAGUUGGCACAUGAACAUAACACAGAGAACCAAACACUUUCAGAUGUGCAAUUCCAGGCUUCCUUCCACUAUAUGCUUCGAAUGGAGUAAUGUUGUUGAGAGCUUUGGUAGGACAUCUGUUCAGCAAAUAGAUAGCUGUAUGCACAGCUUCUGCCCAUAGGAAAUAAGGCAUUCCCUUCUCAUGUAACAUUGAUUUUGCCAUCUCAAUGACAGUUCUAUUCUUCCUCUCAACUACUCCAUUCUGCUGAGGAGUAUAGGCCAUUGUAAGCUGCCUUUGAAUGCCAUUAGCUUCACAAAACUCCAAAAAAUCAGUAGACAUAAACUCUCCACCCCUGUCACUUCUUAUGCACUGAACCUUGUGUCCAGUUUGUAAUUCAGUCAUGGACUUGAACUUCUUGAAACAAAAGAAGGCUUUUGACUUGUUUCUCAAGAAGUAUACCCAAAUCAUUCUUGUGAAAUCAUCUAUAAUCAGCAUGAAAUAUCUGUUCCUUGCAACAGACUCAUUUCUCAUGGGACCACAGAGAUCCACAUGUAUUAGCACUAGUACUUUGCUUGCUCUUUGAGCUUGAUCUUUUGGAAAAACAUUUCUGUGCUGUUUUCCAAAUUGGCACCCGUCACACACACCACUUUGUUCUUCCAAUUUUGGUAAACCAUGUACCAUUUCUUUAUCACUUAGCUGCUUCAAUCCUCCAAAAUGCAGAUGACCAAAUCUCUUGUGCCAAAUCCAUGUGGAUUGAAGAAAACUAGUCUUCAUUAGUAACUGUUUUUCAGCUAGAAAAGAGACAGGAUAGCAUCUGUUACUCUUCAUUUGCACCUUUAUGAUGAGAUAAUCCAUGGAUGGGCUAUCAAAUACCCUGCACAUCCCUUCUCCAAACACUAGACAGUACCCAUGUUCAUCCAUCUGCCCAACACUUAGCAGAUUUUCUUUCAAUCCUGGCAGAUACAUUACUUCUCUGAUGUAUUUCCUGCCCUUUGCUGUAUCAAUACUCAGUGAGCCAAUACCAGCUACACUCACUAAUGCACCAGUUGGCAUUUGUACUCUCCCAGCUACAUUAGUUCUCACAUCAACCAGCAAAUCUAAAUUUCCUGUCAUAUGAUUGCUGCAGCCACUGUCAAUGUACCAUUCAUUGGUUUUGAUCUCAGUGGUUGAGCAAUUGGCAUAAAACAGGUUUCCUGUAACCUCCAUUUGAUUUACACAAUUAGCCUUCUGCACAUUUUUGCUCACUGUACAGUCUCUAGCAAGAUGUCCAACUCUGUCACAGUUAUAGCAUUUUGGUUUUCCCUUAUACCUGCACUCACCAAAAUGAUGCUUUGAACACACCUUGCAUUGAGGCUUUGUGUUUUCCUGAUUUGAGAACUGUGUUGAAGUGUGGUUCUGUGCAGAAUAAUUAUUCUGCUGUGUCUUGUCUUUUGCCUCCCAUGACUUCCCUUUAGAGUUCCAGCUUCUCUGUGACUUAGAUGAACCAGACUGAGAAGCAUUUUUGUUCUGACCCUUUGAAUUCACAGUGAAUGAGGCAAAUGCCUUCUCAGCUGUAUCAACACUAUGCAUUUCAAGCCUUUGCUCCCGACUCUUCAAAAUGGCAGUUACUUCCUGCAAAUCCACAGUUUCUAGUGUCUUUGUGUUUUCAAUCACAAUGCAUAUAGGGUCAUACUUCUUACUUAGACUAAUUAACACCUUCUGAACCUACCUCUCAUUUGACAGAACUUCACCAAAUGUUUUCAUUUGGUUAAUCAAUUCAGUUAGUCUAGUAAGAUAUUCAGAUAAGGUUUCACUAUCACGCAUCCUACUGUAUUCAAACUCACGUCUAAGGUUUUGAAGCUUUACCGAUCUAACAUGCUCUCCACCAUGAUAUUCUGAGUACAGCAGAUUCCAAGCCAUCUUUGCAGAGUCAGCAUUGGCAAUUCUGGGAAAAAUCUGAUCAGAAACAGCAUUUUGAAUGAUACCCAAGGCCUUCGCAUCCUUCAUGAGAAUCGCAGCUGUUUUCUCAUCAACUUCUUCUUCUGAACCAUCCUCAGAUUCCUGCUUCGUCUUUGAAUCUGGGAUUAAAAACCCCUUCUCUACCAAACCCCAUAAACCAUAUGAUCUGAAUAUGGUUACCAUCUUAAUCCUCCAAAAUUCAUAGUUCUCACCUGAGAAAAUGGGGAUUCUAGCCUCUGAACUUCCAGAUCCAGCCAUUACGAAUUUCAGAUUCGCCUGGAAACAAGAUGUUUUCAGAUUUGACCCUUGAUCGAGCUCAAUCAGCUUCGUGAGCUUAGAAUGAGCUCACCUCGAUCGAUUUUCUUCACAGAACAACGCCCAGCUUCAGAUAAUCAAACUUGGCUCUGAGGCCAUGUUAGAGUUUUAGGAUCUGAGUGUUAGAUAUUGUGAGAAGAGAGAAGAGAAUUUAGUGAAAAUUUCCAAUACUGCUCUGCUAUACGUGUAGCAGAGAGAACAUUCUCUUUUGCUAUAUAUUUUCAGUACAACAACACACACUUGGUGUGAGAAGAAAAAUGACUGUUAUGCACAGUACCAGCUGGAUGCUUUCCAUCAAAGUAAUCUCAGCCAUUCACUAUCUAACCAAUCAAGCUAUGACACCUGGACUAAGUAUAAAGAAAUACAACUAAGCAGAAAACAAGACUCUUAAUCCUGAAAUCAACUUAAGCACUUAUAAUUCAACAUUGUUACCAUAAGAGCCAGCUCCGACUUUCUUUAAUUUCAGUCCUAACGGGGUUUCAUCUUCCACUCAUCUUUGCUCUUCUCAGUGUAAGCUCUGCAAUUUGAUUAACUUUCCCAUUAUCUCUCACUGUACUCUAUAUAAAGGAAUAAGUGUCGUCCACUAAUUAAUUACACUUUGUGAGAUUUGAUUUUAAUUAGAGUUCGAAUUGAUGUUGCAGCUAGCAGCGGUGGCACUGGCAAACCAUGCUGCUCAACCAGCACCUCAACUUUACUGGAACUCCGUCCUGCCAAACACACAAAUGCCAAGAGCUAUCAGUGAACUUCUGCAUCCUGGUUUGUGUUGAAUAAAUAUAGUAUGUUACUGGAGUACGUAUGGCAACAUAUUCACAAAUGUGUCACGUAUUUUCCAAUAUGACGUUGAUAUAUAAUUGCAGACUCCACAAACGAAGAAAAGAGCACAAAUGUCAUGAAUGCUGUUGGGAAUGGAAAGCCAAUUGACCACAAGGGCAACCUGAAAAUACUGUACUACCACAGCUUGCACGACGCCCAUUUUCUUACAAGAGUGAUGAUCGUCCCACUGACAAUCAACUCCAUUAUAAAAACGUAGCUAUUUUCUUCUUGGAGAAGGACAUGCGCCCUGGCACAACAAUGAGCUUCCAAUUCCCUAGAAAUUCAAACACGGCUACUUUCCUGCCACCAGAAAGAGCUCAAUCGAUCCCCUUCUCCUCUAACAAACUACCAGAAAUUUUCAACCAUUUUUCAGUGAAGCCAACAUCUGUGGAAGCCAAAACAAUUAAGCAAACAAUCGAAGAGUGUGAGGCUCCAGGCAUUAAGGGAGAGGAAAUAUAUUGCGCCACAUCUUUAGAAUCAAUGGUUGAUUUUAGCACUUCGAAUUUUCGAACAAGAAACGUUCAAGCAAUCUCGACAGAGGUAUUGGAAAAAGGUGCCACCAUGUCCAUGCACAAGCAUACAACAAUGCCGGGACUGAAGAAGUUGGCAGGUGACAAAGUCGUUGUGUGUCAUAAGCAGAACUAUCCCUAUGCUGUGUUUUACUGCCAUGUAAUAAAACCAACAGCAGCUUAUGUUCUCUCCCUGAAAGGCGAUGAUGGGGUGAAGAUUAAAGCAGUAGCCAUCUGCCAUCUAGACACAUCAGAAUGGAACCCAAAGCAUUUGGCCUUCCAAAUCCUCAAAGUUAAGCCCGGAACAAUUCCCAUCUGCCAUUUCCUUCCCACUGAUCAUAGUGUCUGGGUUCCGAACCACAAAUCUGCAUGAUCAUCACUUAGCACUGUACGUAUAAUAAGCUUGCACCCCUGUAUAAUUAUCUCCCUACUCUACUUAUUUCUGCCUCUUCAUGUGGUGUAAGAUAUAUGAUGAGAUGAAGUUUUUGGGAUUAGUGGUCGGGUUGCCUUAAAAACACAGAUUACAGAAACUGCUUGAACUUAACCCGAUCAUGUUUUCUCUUGUACUCGUAAAGCAUGCUGUUGUGGUUCUACUUAAUUUCGUUCUCCCCAAUGUUUGAGUGUUUAAUUGUUACGUUGGAUAAUGCUUGUAGUUAGAGAAGCCUUCAUUUAUAUCAAAGUCCUCAACUUGUAAAGAUAUCAAUGGUCCUAGUGCUGCCACGUGUAAGAAGAUUGAAGAAUAAAGCUGUUGAGAUAUUGUUAGACCUGUUAUGCAGUUUAGGAAAACUGUUAGUAUUGAUAAGAGAAGGUUAGAGAUGUUAGAGAGGUUAGAAAACACGUGAACAAGGCUUUAACUCAGCUGAUAUAAAGUCUGUAGUUGUGCUCAGUUGAACUUAAUGAGAAAUACAACAAGUCUCUUCUCUAUCUCUGAAAUUCUCUCUGCUCUCUCUGCUUUACUUCUUUUGUCUCUGCUCUACAUUUUUUUUCAAUCUUCCUAUCUUAACAAAACUAUCAAGAAUUAAUGCAUCCAGAAACAUAUAUACCAAGACGCAAAACAACAUAUUUUUCAUGCUCUGUCUGUAACACCAAAGCAAACUUCCUUUAUCACAAAAGGAUCAAAUUCCAGUACUAAUCUAAUCCAUCAUGUAAAGCAUACAAUCUACAAGUGCCUCCCUUAAUUUGUCCAUUGGAUAUAUAUGUCACUUUUUGGUAAUUUGGUAUAGCAGCACCACGUAGUCUUGAAAUAGUAGUGCGGCUAUACCAAAUAUACCAUUUGCCCCUGCAUUUAACAGAAAAGUAAACAAAAUUGACGGUAGAACUAUUUGUCCUAACGAAACUGCAGUUGAAAGACCAUGAGAACGAUUUUGAAAAUUGAGGGACUCAAAUGAAAAUUGGGUCUAAGUUCAAGAACCAAUAAAACGAUUAACCCAUAGAUUUUGGAUCCAGUACCACAUCCCAAAGAGAAAACCACAAGUUUGCAAGCAAGUUUGUCCAUAAUAACACUACGUACAGUAUGGGCAGUGCGCUAGACUCAUCUCACUUUCUCAACCUAUCCUAUAGUUGUCUAAAAGAGUUUCUAAUUUAAUGUACUGAGAUUUACGAAAGAAAUAUCAGAGAAACAAUUUUCAGGCAAUAAAAAAAUGUCUUGGCAAGAAAAUGUACAAUUUGUUACAUAACUUAUUAAAUAUGAACAGUUGAAAGAAAAAAGAAUCUGGAUGAGGGAUUUGCAAAUUCCUAUGGCCCAAUUACCUUUUUUUCUUUGUUGUUUUUUUUUUUUUUUUUUUGGUUCUUUUGAUCCAGUAGCAUAUUCCAAAGAAUGAAAACCACAGGCAUGCAAUGCAAGCUCUUUUCCCACGUUUUCCUCUGUUUUUCUCCUAUCAUGGAAGUGAUUAAAACACACCUCUAAGCUUGUUUUGCGUUUGGUAGCCGAGUGUAAAAGCUCAAUGCAAGAUAGUUUGAGGUAGAAUUUUCUCCUAUUUUAUUAGGACAAUGAUAAUUAAAAAAAAGUGUGAUUCAUUGAAUAUUUGCGGGGUUUUGUUCAGACCUGACAAAGUUCUAAGUCAACACAUCAAAUUCCUUUUUCCAACAUGCAACAAUUGUAUUUGAUUCCCAAUUUUUUCUGAUAUACAUCACAUCAUGCCACUUGCAUCAAAUGAAUUUAAUUGAGUGAGGCAAUGGGAAGUAAUUAAGCUCUGUAUUCGUGGGUGGAGUGUUACUUCUGGAACCCUAAUAAUUCGUCCCUACAGGACUCUAGAACUCUCAAACUUCUUACAAGGACUACUUAACUCUAUAGCUUAAUGCAUAUAGCAUAUAUAUGCAAACACAAUUAGAAAUUCUACAACAGAAGCAAGAUCAAUCUCACUAUGCCUUCUAAACAAACAAACAAAUAAAACAAGCAUAUUAAUUGCUUUAAUCACUCUACUAACAUCAACACAGCACACUUAGUUUACUAACAGAUGAUAUAGAAAGGAAAAAAAAGGACCAAUAGGGAGAAAAUGGUGAACUAAGGAGAGACUAAUACUUCUGGUCCUUAGAAGGCAUAACAGAAAUAAUAGAGCACACUGCUUGAAUGCAAGUCAGUAUUAGGAGCAAAACAGCUGCAAUGAAAGAAAUAGUUGCCCAAGGUGUAUUGAAAUAAUGUUGCCUCAAAUUUGCCUUCCAUUUGUUCCAAGGCUUUCUGCAGUAGCUAUUAAGGCGCUCAGAAAGAAUAGCAAAGUAGAAGCUUUCACGAUACACUGCAAUUCCUUUUCCGAGGUUGUUAAUCAGAGUGCACACCUCAUUGUAGUCACCAAGCAUAUUUUUGACAAUCCCAUCCUUCAGAAGGAACUCCACAUCCUUUUCGGUGUUCACAAACUCAUCCAUGAGUGAAACAUAAUCACUUAUGUAAUUCUUACGGCAAUGGCACUAUUCAAAGGCAAUGAGGUUACGGAGUGUGAGCUCUGUGUAAUCGUGUAUUUUUAGUUUUGGAAUUUCUAGAAUCCCAUCGUUGAAUUGUGUUAACGCAGCUUUCCUUUCCUAGCCUACACGGAAGUCAACUUCACAAUCUCCUCCUAGCAAUUAGUCUUUCCUGCUGUAAAUCAGAUUUCCUACUGUAAAUCGGAUUGUAUUCAUGUCUAUAUUAUUUCCUACUUUAAGUAGAUAUCUUGUACUAGUAUAAAUAGGGACUUUGUGUAAUCUGUUAAAUACAAGGAAAUAUAUACUCUGCAUGGUAUCAGCCUAACCUAGGGUUCUCUCUCUCUCCCUUAUUCGAUCCUCUUCUCCUUUAGGUCCACCUCAUGGCUUUGUCUGAAUCCACCAUCUCCCUCCCAAGCCCCAACUCUUCUAUUUUAUCAAGCUUAUUGACUCCAACUAUCUUCUUUGGCUCCGCCAACUCAAACCCUUUUUAGUCGGCCAUGACCUCUGGAAAUUUAUCGAUGGCAUUCAUAAACAACCUUCUGCCCACACCUCCACCUCUACCACCGCAACACCCACAACCACCACCACUCUUACCCAAAUCAAUCAUGCCCAUGCUCAGUGGUACCAACAAGACCAACUCAUUGUUAGCUACAUCACCAAUACACUCUCUGAGUCCAUUCUCUUUCUCACUGUUGGUUGCACCUCUGCCCGGGAUCUCUGGGAGUGUCUCCAACGCCACUUCUCUCAAUCCAGUAUGGCCAGUGAAUCUACUCUUCGUUUUAAACUCAUGGAUUUGCAAAAAGGCUCUGAACCCACUUAUGCUUACAUUCGUCAUGCUAAGUCCUUUGCCGAUUCACUGGCUGCCAUCAAUGAACCUGUCUCCCCAAAAGAACUUGUCACUACUGUGCUUUGGGGUUUAAGACCCUAUUGCAACAUCCUCGUCACAGCAAUUCUCAAUUUCCCUCUGCUUCCUAACUUUGCUAAUCUUCGUGCUCGUUUGUUAGCAUUUGACGCACAGACUCCUUGAAUCUCUCCUGAUCAAAACACAGCGCAAAUGGCCACCCAAUCCUCUCCUCACACCACCGGUCAUACUUCCUUCCCUUCUCACCGUGGUGGUGGCUCUUCCAACAACAGGCGUGGUGGCCUCGGUGGCUGGCGCAAUAGCGGCCGGGGUGGCUGGCGCAGCUUCUCAUCUUCCUGGAGCAACCCGUGGAAUGGCUUCCAGCAGCUCCAAUGACCUAAUCAACCAUGGCCUCCUUUUGCUCCAAGUUCUGGAUCUCAAAGCAACUGGCCUUCCUUUCAGCCUCCUUGGGCCUAAUCUGCCGCUUCUAUCAAACACUUUGCCCGGCCCAACUCAGCUCCUGGUGUCUUGGGACCCGCUUGGUGCACUACCUGCAAUACCAAUCACAUACUACUACAAUAUGUCCUCAUCGCUACAAUGGCCCAGAAUCCUUUCUUUGCUAGGGCUCAAUUCAUGUAGCCACCUGACUCUACUUGGUACCCUGACACAAGUACCACUCAUCAUAUGAUUGGUAGUCCUUCUAAUCUCCAAAAUCAAUCCUUCUAAUCUCCAAAAUCAACAGCCAUAUCAGGUUCAUAAUUCUGUAUUUCUUGGUAAUGGAGAUUCUCUCCCUAUCUCUCAUACUAGCUCUCUCUUUUGUCUUCCAUCUCUUCGUACUAAUCUUCUUUUUGUUGCCCAUUUUACUUGUGAUAAUUUAGUUUUCUUUGUCUUUACUCUUGACUUUUAUCAAAUCUAUGACUUAUGUACUGGUUCGUUACUCUUUCAGGGCCCUUCUAAAGAUGGUCUUUACCCACUUUCCAUCUCCUCUCACUCAUCCAUAGUCCCCCAUGCCCUUACCACCGUGCACUCUCCUGCUUGGCAUCAUUGCCUUGGCCAUCCAUUCCAUCGUGUGCUCUCUCAUUUAGCGCCAUCUCUAGGCUUUAAAGUUUCUCAUGCUUUCUGUAAGGAUUGUGCACUUAGCAAAUCCACCAAACUGUCAUUUCUUAGUAAUAAAACCUUUGCCCCAUCUCCCUUUUAUUUAAUUCACUCUGAUGUAUGGAUGUCCUCGGUCAUUUCUGUCACUGGUUAUCGCUAUUAUGUCUUGUUUACAGAUGACUUUUCUCGUUACUCCUGGAUCUAUCAUAUGCACCGUAAAAAUGAGGUCUUUUCUCACUUUCAAACCUUUCUUGCUAUGGUUAAAAAUCAAUUUCACACCACUGUACAAAUUCUUUAAAGUGACAAUGGCACUGAAUAUGUUAAUAAUGCUUUCUCUGAUCUUUGCAGUCAACUAGGCAUCCACCAACGUUUCACAUGUCCCCACACUCCCCAACAAAAUGGCCUAGCUGAACAUAAACACAGACACAUUGCCACCAUGAUCUGUCCCCGGUCAUUUAUUCAACCAUCUUGACCUUUUGCUUGAUCAUUUUCCACAAGCAACCGUCCACGUACCCCAAUAAUUUAAAAGGGCUGAUGAUCUUUAAUUUGGUGAAAGCUUCUAUCUACCUACCGUGCUAUAUAUGAGCUAUGCAAUCGUGACCGUGUUACAUGACGUCCCAAUGUCGUAGGGAUAAAAAAAUAAUAGUCAUGGUUUUCUUAUUAAUGUCAAUACAUUCAUAGCAAAGAGCUUGUAGCUCUAGUGGUUAAGAGCAAUUACCCAUGCACUUGAGAUAUUUUGUGUUUAAAUCCCCUCUUCCCCAAUAUUUCUUGUAUAAAAAUAAAAAUAACAAUAAUAAUGACAUUAAUGUUGUAUUCUAUAAAGUGUUGGACAUGUUUUAUACCCCUUUCUUGCAAAUUACAGUUUGCCACGUGUACAAAAAUAAUAGAUAAGUGUUGGACAUCAAGAGCACUUACAUAUAGGUUUAAUAGGUAAGUUUUGAAUAUUUCUGUAUUUAGCUUUAAAUAUUGAAAAUCAACCUAUUAGCAUAUUAAAGAUUUGUCCAUAUUCGACGUACAUUCUCUUAUUUUUCUCUCAUUGAAGUAAAUACAAAACUAAGCACAUAGUGGGAAAGUGCGUCACGAUUAGGGGUGGGUUUAGUCUAGGUUGGUUCAUUUUUGGGCUCAAUUUGAACACCGAACUGUAAGCUUCGGUUUGGCUAUUUUGGAAACCGAAACCAAACCAUAAUUGAUGAAAACCGACCACUUCGAUUACCUUCUGGUCUUCCAACCAGAAGAAAACUCAAAACUUUAACCAUACCAAGUGCAACAGAAUUACACCAGGCUGGAUUCAAGUUUAUGAUGGUUAAAGAUAAAAACUUAUUUGACAUACAAUUUGAGAAUGGAAUCCUCAAAAUUCCACACCUGCGAAUACGGGGUUUAACAGAAAUUUUCUUCCGCAAUCUUAUUGCCUAUGAGCAGUGUGAGCUUCAUGAUCAUUACAUCAACGACUAUGUCUUCAUCAUGGACCGCCUGGUCGACAGUGCCAGGGAUGUGGAAUUGCUUGUGAAGAGUGGAAUUCUUGAAUCUAUGCUACCGGACAGCGAGGCAGCAGGGGAAUUUAUUAAUUCUCUUGACUUGGGGCCUAUUUUAGGCAAGCUUGAAACAAGACUAUUUCAGUUCACCAUGGGCUGGCCUGUCUAUUAUUGUAGCCGCUAUACUAGUUGUGCUCACAUUUAUUCAAACAGUGUGCUCCGUAAUGGCGCUGUAGGUUCUUCAUUUCCUCAAUUUCAUGUUUAGUGGUUGCAGAUUUGUUGCUCAUGUACGUGUUUAUCUAAAGUUAAAUAAGAGUGAUUGACUGGAUUGACUGUUAGUCUGUUAGUUUGUUUUUCUGGGGUUUUUCCCCCCUGUUCGUCAAAAAAAAAAAUAAAAGAGUGAUGGCUUGUGCCUAUGAAAAUUACUUAGGAGUAUGCUCCACAGAGCCAAAAUAAAUAAACUAGGGAAGUGGAGGUUCUUCUGUUUGUAUAUAAAUGAGCAAUUCAAACUCUCAGUGCCAAGGGAGUUACCCUUGAUACAUUUGUUAAAAAUUAUAUAUUUGGUCUUACAUCAAACAAAUAAUUUGAAGGGCUUUUUUGACAACUGCUGACAGCGUUUGGCAGAAAAGUUUAGAAGCGCUUCUACGCUUCUAGAUCAUAAAAGUGCUUUACCAAAAAGCACUUAGAUUUCUUAUGAAAAUUUCAACAUUUUUAUAAUAAAAGCGCUUGCUAGAAGCACUUAUAAGCAGAAGUGCUUCAUAGAGAAGCAGUCCCAAACGAGCUUGAUUUUCAAAUGUGCUGCUUAAGAAGAAAUUUAAUACGUUUUGAAAACAAAAAAAAAUACGAAAUUUAAUACGUUUGUUUUACAAAUUGUAUUAAUUGUUAUCAAUAAUACUUGUGCACACCCACAACAUACUUCUUUCUUUCUUUAUUUUCCUUCAGUACAGUUCUGCCUUUCUUUAAUUAUUUUUAACGAAUGCAAAGAGUUUGUCACAAAAUCAAGGAUUGAAAAAAAAAGAGAGUAAAUUAUGUGCUAGAGAAACUUUCCUGCAGAAAUUGAAGAACAACUCUAGUUUCUCUCUUUCGCCUUGUACUCCCGCACUGAGGUUAGUAUUGUUAUAAUGUGCAGAUUAUACGGUCACUCUUGUAUAAUGGCGAGAAGGCUCUAAUUAUAUUUUUGAACCUCUUUGACAGGACCCGCCCCGAAUUUCCCGAAACCCAAGACGAAUUCUGUGGAAAUUCCCUACAUCACCCCGAUGUUGGGCCCACUUCUAAAACUAUAUCAUUUUUCCUAAAAAGGAAUAAGGGCACGAGACUUUCUACCGAAAUUUCGGCAGAGUCUCUCCUGUAAAUUGAACAUUUCCCAAAAUUUCAACCUGCAUAAAACACAUUUUAUAUUACCCAACUGGCAGCAUGCACAAAAUAAUAACAUGCAAUUCACAUAAACGGCCUCUGGCCCUCCGGUAAUUCAGAGCAAUGCAAACUAGCAACUCUAAACCUAAUAAAACAACAUAAGUAACAUUUAGCCAGCGGCUGCACCCAGGCACUACCCUAGGCUACCUACGUACCCUUACUAAGGGAUCAAGCCACACGUAGUUCUUUCAUACAAAAUUUCCAAAUCCAUCAACAUGCAAUCAAUUACAGAAUCCCAAACAAAAUCUUUCUCAAACAUCAUUAGUUCCCAACUCAGUAUAAUAAUCCUUAAUUCAUCUCUGUAAUAAUCACAAUAUCUCCCCAUACGCCGGAACUACCAACACCACGUAUGGAGCCUGCCUGUACGCCAGAUAACCAACGACACGUGGGACCUCAUCAUCAUAUCACAUAAUCUCCCCAUACGCCGAAACUACCAACACCACGUAUGGGGUCUGUCAACACGCCGGAUAACCUACGACGUGUGACCUCAACAUCAAAUCACAAUAUCUCCCCAUACACCGGAACUACCUACGCCACGUAUGGGGUCUGUCCACAUGCCGGAUAACCUACGACACGUGGGACCUCAUCAUCAUAUCACAUAAUAUAUUAACGAUCAAGAAAUAUCACUACGGUCAUUUAAUCCUCCUGGGAAGGUAAAACUAUCUCAGGAGACUCACGGUCAACCAAGGGUCAAACUACCUCAUACUUGGACAAACGAGCCCACGGAGCCCACAACCUCCGUUUUACUAUCCAAGAGUUCCUAUAGGUUCUACAAGGUUUAGGAUACACGGCUUGCAAGUUUGGUCAAGAUCAGACGGUCGGAUCGCUCACGAUAGGACGGUUACUGCAAACCUAGCCCUAGGGUUGGCAUUUUCGGAGUAUCCGAAACUCCGUUUUACGAUCUGUCGAAUCAUAGACGAUCCUAAGGAUUUGCAGACUAACUAUAAUAAAUUCAAGACCAUCCAACGGUCUAAACCUAUCGAACCCGGAUAACGCGCAAUAGGCAAUAUCCAAAUUGAAAUCCGAGCACACCUACGCACUCGUGAGGACUAGGAGAUUACAUCGGGACAUAGUGCCCUUUUUCUACAGUGCCCAUGAGCCGCCGCACGCACCAGCAACGCGUGGGUGCCCAAAGCGAUUAUGCAUCGCCAAAAAAUCUCAAAACCACGGCUCAAGACUCCUACCCUAGGUAUAACACCCUAUUUGGAACCACUUUUGUUCUUGGACCUACCCCAAAAACUGAUCAGAAGUGGCCGGAAUGGCUGAAAUGUAAUUCAAAAAUCAAGCUACCAACGCUCAAAAUCGAUGCAAUCCUACCCAACCAUCAACUAGAUUAUGAAGAAUGGAUAAAUUUCCAUACCUUGAUCGCCAACAAUGGCGGCCGGAGGAGAGAGAUCUGAUCCGGCGAAGUUCGAGUGAAAACGGCCAAAAAUCAUCUUUUUCAGGCGGCUGGAGGGCGACCGAUGUCAGGGAAGGGCAGGGUCGUGACGCUAAGGCUGAGCCUGUCCUUUUGGCACCGGUCCCUUCCGCAGCCGUGUCCGGUGGCUGGAGUUUCGAAGAGAGAGAGAGAGAGAGAGAGAGAGAGAGAGAGAGAAAUCUGAUUUUUAUCAAACCUUUUUGCCAAAAUUACGGUUAUGCCACUGAGGGUAUUUUGAUAGUAUCUCUCUCGUUACAACUUCGAUUCGAGCCCACCACGUGUGUACGGACUCAUCUAACUGUGUUGUACGCAACGGUAUAGUCGAAAUUCCCAAAUUAUUUCCUUGUCAAAAAGUCAACUUUAAACAUUAUAAAAUAUUUUAGGGAAAAAAUGGUAUUUUCUCUCAAUAAAUUAGUAACUAAUUUAUUUAGGACUGGGUCAUUAUACUCUUUUUCGCUUCAAUGGAUGGGAAAAAAUUUUAUGUAAUAUCCCACAUCGACCAACGAAGAGGGGGCGAUGUGUCUUAUAUGUACAUGCCCGCCUCCAUCUAGCAUAAGGCCUUUUGGAAGCUCACUGGCUUCAGAGUCAUGGGAACUCCGAAGUUAAGCGAGUUGGGGGCUAGAGCAAUCCCAGGAUGAGUAACCCACUGGGAAGUUGCUCGUGAGCUUCGAGAAACAAAACCGUGAGGGCAGAGAGAGGGGCCCAAAGCGGACAAUAAGGCCUCGUGCUAGAUGGAGGCGGGCAUGUACAUAUAAGGCACAUCACUCUCUCUCCGUUGGUCGAUGUGGAAUGUUAGAAUGGAAUUGUUACCUUUGGUGUGGAGGUGUUCUAUCAUUUGAGCAAGAAAUUCCCACAUAUUCUUCAACUAUUUUUCAAGCAUGCAUAUUCCUCCCUAUCAAUCUUUGGUUUCUUCCUUUACUGUGCAUAGUAAGGAUCCAGUCAGGGACGGACCGUCGCUAUGACUAUCCUGGGCUAUAGCCCAGGCAAAUUAUUUUUUUUUCUAGUCUAAAAUAGCAAUCCCACCGCUUGCUGUAGUACUUGUUCAGUUCGUCACAAACAUGAGCAUAAUAGAAGUUAUCAACAUCUAUAUAGGAACCCCAAUGAAAAGGCUGUUAACUAAUAAUGAAGUUAACCCGUCAAUUUUUCCGCAUAUCAGAUAUCUCUCAGAAUAUGCGAUUCCAUAUUCAAUAAGCCACUCCACAUGCCCUGAGGUUUUCAUCAAACCACCCAUUAAGGAAACAUACUGACUCAUGUAAUUAUCAUUACUCAUCGGGUAAUGCAAUUGUUCAAAGGCAAGGACAUUUCUCAUUAUUUAUGUAGCGAACCCCAAUGGAAAUGGUGGGAUCUUCAGAACCCCAUCGGUGCUACUGAAUUGUAUGUCAAAUAUGUUUUCACCUUGUCACGCCUCAAACUUGACUCCAGCGUGCUGUAAUUCUGUCAAGCUGGGUAUGGAUGAUGGGAGUUUGAUGCAGGAGCAUAGGGGUGGAUCAAGAUAGAUAUUUACUAUUUAAUUAGUUAUUUCAUGAUAUAUUGUUAUUUUCUUAUUUAGGUAGUUUUAUGAUAUCUUUUAUUAUUUAUGUGUGAUUUUAUAAUUAAUUAGUAUACUUUUGGACCAAGUAGCCUUGGUGCUCAAGUCUUGUAAAGCCUAUAAAUAAGGCUAAUGUAAUAGUUGUAGAAUAGAUGUCGAUGAUUAAUAAAAUCGUUUAUUUGUGGCAUGGAUUUGCUACGAUAUAUGUGAGUUUGCACUAGCCCUAGAUUUCAGUGCUCGUGUAUGUGGUUGGUGACCUGUGUCCGGAUCCCGAUCCCCAUCAAUUGGUAUCAGAGCUAUGGCUCAAGAUCUGCUAUAUCGGGGAGGUUUUUGGAUGGAGGGUCGUUUUAACAACUACAACGACAUGGAGGAAAUUAGGAGGAUGCUACGGCAACUUAUGGAACACAUUGCUCGCAUUGAAGCUCGAACCCAGAUAGGUAAGAGUUCUGACGGGGAGGGAUGUGUGAACCCUUAUCUGAACCGAGUAGCUCGCAUCGACACUCUAAGCCGUGAGAGUCUCGACGGGGAGUACGAGGGAGAUAGCCCUUUUCAUUAUUGUGCUCCGCUGUGUGAGUCAAGUGAAGAGGGGCACGGUUAUUCUCAUUGUGUCUUUGAAGGUAUAAAUGAAUUUAGUAAUUUUGGUGCAUCUUGUUAUUCAUCAAAGUUAUUAAAUUUGGAUUUACCUCCAUUAUUUGAUCCUUGCAAUUGUGAAAAUUGCAAUAAAAAUUGUUUGGGUGUUCAAAGCAAUUUUGAUAAGCAAUUUAUUGACCAGAACAGUGAAGAGAUGAGAAUUGAGAAAACUUUCGAAGAUAUUAUUGAUUUUAUGGGCAUUAAUAUUUUCACUUGGAAGGUUGCCAAAAAUCUGGUUGAUUUUGUCAAUCGGUUGAAGAUUCUAGAGAGAAACAUUUGCAUUGCUAGAGGGAGUAAGAAGUCAAGAAUAACGAAAUAUUCCAAAUAUCUUUUUAUUUGGAAAGGAAGGUUUCAAUUGGAUGCUAAAAGAUCCAAAAUUAAUAUGCAGCAAUUGAAGAUUCUACUCGGAUUUUCCUUAAUCAAAGGCUUGAAUUCGAGGACGAAUUCUUUCCAACUAUGGGAGUCUGAUGCAGGAGCAUAGGGGUGGAUCAAGAUAGAUAUUUACUAUUUAAUUUGUUAUUUCAUGAUAUAUUGUUAUUUUCUUAUUUAGGUAGUUUUAUGAUAUCUUUUAUUAUUUAUGUGUGAUUUUAUAAUUAAUUAGUUUACUUUUGGACCAAGUAGCCUUGGUGCUCAAGUCUUGUAAAGCCUAUAAAUAAGGCUAAUGUAAUAGUUGUAGAAUAGAUGUCGAUGAUUAAUAAAAUCGUUUAUUUGUGGCAUGGAUUUGCUACAAUAUAUGUGAGUUUGCACUAACCCUUGAUUUCGGUGCUCGUGUAUGUGGUUGGUGACCUGUGUCCGGAUCCCGAUCCCCAUCAGAGUUCCCCUCCAGCUUUUGAUUCCAACGGUUGAUAGAGUUUAAAUAUUUUCCUGAAAAGAUCAAUAAUAUGUGCCACUGAUCUAAAAGUCUCCAAAUUGUCUUCCAAUUUGUCAACAGGCAAUAGAUGUUCGAAGAAACUGAAAGAAAUACAAAUUAUUGAAAGCCCCUCAGUAAUGCUGUUAUUGUCAGCAUUAGCAGGGAGUGUAAUUUUCUGUGGGUCGAAAAGAUCCUCGAGAAUGAAGAAUGGCAACUGAUUUUCAAGCAACCACGUAUCUGUCCAUGCAUCUUGCAACAUACCUGGUUUGUCAAAUAUGCGGUCAUUUUCGUCCCAAAAUUUGAAGUAGUCCUUCAAUAAGGGCUCAAUAACGAAGGCGGCGCCCACUAGAAUGAUUGUUACAAAUUCAUCACUGCUAAACUUGAUGGGUUCUCCAUAACAACGUCUCAAUCUUGCUUCGUGGUCCUUUAUUUUCUUAAUAUAAUCCUCCAAACUCACAUUGGUCCGACCUAUAAAAUCUUGCAGGUAUCUCUGUUUGUUCUCUUCCAAUACGACAUUCAAGCCUUCCUUUCCAUGGUGAAGUGGACCUAUAGAGACCGACUGCCUGAGGUGUGCAGAGCUUUUCAUUCACACAUACGUAGAUAAAAUGUCUGGGGGCUCAGAGAGUGAUGAAUGUGCAACAGCUAAUGGGAGGGUUUAUAUUCCUGAAGUAAGAAAUGAGGAAACACCAGCAGUUGGGAUGAAGUUUGACUCGCUUGACCUCGUUUACAAUUUCUAUAAUAGAUAUGCAUUCUUGGCUGGCUUUGGUAUUCGACUUCAUUCUAGCUUUUGGGGGAAAAAUAAGAAAGAGAUUUUGAGGAAAGAAUUUGUAUGUUGCAAACAAGGUGCAUACAAGAAGGAUGAAACUCGGGAGAGAAAAAGACAACGGGGAAUAAGUAGAUGCAAUUGCAAAGCAAAGAUUGUGGUUGUGAAGACAAAUGGGAGCAAGAAGUAUACCAUUUCUCUUUUUGCAGAGGGACACAAUCAUAAGAUGACACCCUCAGAAAGAAUGCAUUUAUUGAGAUCACACCGUCAUAUUUCAGAUUCUACAAAAGUACUCACAAAACAGUUGGGUUCAGUUAAUAUUCCCAUUCAUCAGAAGGUAAGUAUAUUCGAGGUGCAAUCCGGAGGAAUGGAUAAAAUCGGUUUUAUCAAAAAAGAUAUCUACAAUCUUGAAUGUAGUGUGAAUGGGAAGCUGAGGAACCACGAUGUUGAACUAGUGACCGAGUAUUUUAUGGCUGAACAGAAAAAAAAUGAGGCUUUUUAUUUCAAGAUUGAGGGAGAUGGGCAUGACAGGUUUAGUCGAUGUUUUUGGGCAGAUGCAACUUCUAGACGGGCGUAUGGGUUUUAUGGAGAUGUUGUUGUAUUCGAUACCACAUUCAACACGAAUCGAUACGACUUGACAUUUGCACCAAUGUUGGGAGUUAAUAACCAUGGUCAGACAAUUGUCUUAGCAUGCGCAUUUUUGAGCAAGGAAACGACUGAGUCGUUUGUUUGGAUGUUUGAGGAGUUUAAGAAAGCCAUGCCAGGUGGGGAACCUAAAACGAUCAUUACAGAUCAAGAUGCGGCAAUGGCCAUAGCGAUUUCAAUAGCCUUCCCGAGUACAUUUCAUCGACUUUGCAUAUGGCACAUCACAUCAAAGUUCUCUGUUAAGUUACCACGUGACGCUUAUAAGGAGUAUUGGCCUGAAUUUCAGAAAGCCAUAUGGGAUACUGACAAUAAGGAUGAGUUUGAUGCAAAAUGGAAUAUUGUGGUUAUAAAGGCUGGUUUGACUGACCAUCCAUGGCUAAGUUCAAUGUUUGAUUUAAGGGAAUCUUGGGUUCCAGCCUACGCACGACAAUUUUUUGCCGCUGGAAUGUCAAGCAGCCAAAGAGCGGAAGGUUCUCAUGGUUUUUUCAAGCAAUACAUAUCAAGGAGAAAUUCGUUGAUGGAUUUCAUAAUACGAUUUGAGAGGGCAUUUUCUCAUCAACGUGAAAAAGAGUUAGUUGCUGAUCACGUAGAUGCAUUUGAAGUGGCUCAAUGUCUUCUACCGAUGCCAAUGAACAAACAAAUGGCUACCUUGUACACAAGGACAAUGUUUCAAAAGUUUGAGCAAGAACUAAUACAAAGUACAGCAUGUUUCCUAGAGCUCAAAACAGAGGAUGCAUGUAAAGUUGUGUUCAACGUGAGCGAAAGGAAAAAUUGGGAAACAAGAGUGGCAGAAGUCGUAUAUGUCAAAGAUUCUGACCACGCAUCGUGUAGCUGCAAAAGAUUUGAAUUUGUUGGAAUUAUUUGCAAGCACAUCCUAGCAUUGUUCAGAAGGGACCAGAUUGAAUAUAUGCCCGAUAAAUAUAUUUUGAAGAGGUGGAAGAAAACUGCGAAAUGUGGAUUGGUGUCAGAUGCAAAUGGCAACGAAAUUAAAGACUGUGCAGAUCCUGGCCUUCUAAUAAAGCGGAGUACAAUGUCUCGACUUGCUUCAAAUGUGGUUGAGGAUGCAUUAAUGAGUGAAGAAGGAUGUGAGCUACUGUCAGAGACUCUAAAAAGUUUGCAGGUGAAGUUGAAGUUGCUGAAGGAUGGACCAAGUAAUAACGAAGUUGGAGGGUCCAGCUCUCAAACACAAUAUAUGAAAGACCCUAAGAGAGUGAGGUGCAAAGGAAGGUCGAAAGGAAUAACGGGAGCAAAGGAAAAGGCAAUGAAGCGAGGGAUUAGACACUGUCGGGAGUGUGGACACAUUGGUCAUGAUAGAAGACAAUGCCCAGCCUUGAACACACCGUAAGAUGCUACCACUAUUUGUAAUAAUAUCUAAAAUAUGAAAAGGUAAAAUUUUUAUGUGCUUGUGUUUGAUGUUUAUGCAGGACAUCACCGUCGAACAAUGACAAAUCAACUCCAAUACAUCGUAGUGACCCAUUAUUCGACGAUUUUGACAAGAUGCACAGACCAACUGAAUGAUUGAUAUUUGUAUUAGACGAAAUGUGGUUGUUAUGAAGAUUAAUGAUCAAGUGAAGUUUUAUAGAUUCAGUUUUUGAAUGUUAUUGUGUUUUUGUUCAUGUCCACCGAUGAGCUCUUACUAUGUCCACUGGUAAUUGAAAUGAAAAUUUUCUUGGUUUCAUUCUUCCAAGACAUUUGGAGACAUGUUAAUUUUACGUCUUCUCCCUAUUUAUAAAUUUUCAUAGACAUUUGAUCAAGUUUGAAAUUUGUAGUUAUGUGAAGAAGCAAUGACUCUUACCAUGUAAAAUGGGCAGUUUAGGGUGAAAUUUGUUUUAACAGAGAUUCAUUUUUCAAUUCCUCAGGGUAAUGCAGCAAUUACAGCAGCCAGCUGUUGUUUCCAUUACCAGUAAUCAUUUCCAGCAGCAGCCACUUUUUCCGACUGGUUAUUAGGGGCACGAUUUUGUACACUUUUGUAAGUGAAGGAUACUCGAAGCACUUUGUUGGAACAGAGCAAAUAGAAACCAGCGGGUAAAAAAAAAACAUAACAUUGCAGCUAAUUACAUUUCGAUACAUAGGUGAAAAAUAUUAAAGGGUACACUAACUUACAUAAAUACUCAUAAUUCCACACACAAAAGAACAUUUGAUUGCAAAACAUAUUAUGUGCUUCCUCAUAGCAAUACCACGAUCUCCCCAACCAACUGAACAACGGUAGCCACAAUCACUGGGUCGUACUCGUCAGCUUCUUCUUAGCAGGUCUCACAUGCUUAUGGCCACUCAUAUCCCUAGUGAUAUACACGAAAUAAAUCUUCAGCAAUAUUUGGAAUUUUAUUAUAUAUAAAUAAACCAUAAACCAUUCAGUAAACAAUGUAUAGCACAUGUUAUGUAACUUAUGACUCACGUGUCAGUUUUUUUUUUAACACAUUAGUACUCCAGCUCUUUAAUGUAAAUGGACAUGAUAAGGAGCAUUUACUGAUUCCCGGCUUUCUAUGAUAUUGACUGCUUCUUGAAUAAUAUUUCCAUAUUUGCAAAAUAUAAUGUUAGACAUUAUAACACAUGAUGACUUGCAAUACAUAGUCCCAAUAAUUAUAUAUCAAGCAAAUGAAACUGAUAUUUGUGUUAUUUUAAGUUAGAUAAUGACAUUAAGGGAGUAUAUGUGCAAUACCACGGUCACCCUCAACCAACUGAACAGCGGUAGCCGCAAUCACUUAGUCGUAUCGGUCGGCUUCUUCCGAGCAGCUUUGACGUGCUUAUGCUCAUUCAUGUCACCCCCAUCGUCUAGUAUCUCUCUCACAGCAUCAGGGGACACAUAGUUCCAAUCAUAACUUGUAUGAGUAGUUGCCGCAAAUGCUCGGAAUUUGUCGAAUCCUUCGUUGAAUGCCAACUCCAGUUCAGUAUGGUGCUCUUCGCAUCGCAUAUGGUUCAUCAAACAACCUUUGAUUUCAUCAUUCAUUACUGUAUCCAACUCCUCAGCUUUCAGCUUCCUGCUAUGACUCAGCUUCAAGUACUUGUUCUUUUGGGAUAACGCUUUGUUCACCCUAAUGUUAAGAUCAGCCAAAAUUGCCUCGUCUUCAACACAUUUCUCGUGCCAUGAAUUGAUCAGUCUGGAAUUAUAAUCCAGCUUGCCACUGACUGCAUGUAUUGCCUGUAAUGGAUCAUCGGAGUCCCCCUCACUCCCAAAUGAUGUUGAAAAAGGAAGGGGUCGGCGAGUACAAUGUGGAAAUAGAACCUGCCACUCCAAUUUGUCAUCUUCGAUUGUGUUGUUGGCGCCUGAAGAGGUUGACAUGCUUGAAUAAUCCUCUUUGUUUUGGGAGGAUGAGGAUUGCAUAUGCAAUUUCGUUUGAGAAAGGGAACAUAGGUUUAUAGACCAACAUACCAAAGCUUGUGUGUAGUCAACAUAUGUACUUUUUGGCGGGAAUUUUUUAAAAAUAGGUGUUAGGUUUUGCUUUUCAAGCAUGUCAACCUCACACUCUCCUGACACCACUGCUAGUGGUUGAAACAAAGUCAAUGGAAGUGACAUCUACUUAGUUAACUCAACCAAACUAGUUAGGAUUAAACUUAGAUUGUAUCAGACCAAAAAAUAAUUUCUACUUUGUCAACCAAAUAUUUUUUGGCGGGAACCCUUUUCUUGGUAUUACUAUCACCCCUUUCAUAUAAAAUCUCCUUCCACACAAAACUCACUCCUCCACCGAAUCUGUCUCCAUCUACCGAUACUCUCUCAAGCAAACAAACUCAUUCCCCCCAAAGAAUGAGCAUAAGCACAACCAAGUUUGAUGUGAGCAUAAUAAACACCCCUCCAAACAAAGACCGGCUUCGACACGCAAGUGAGUCACCGGACAAGCAAUGUCACAUUGCUAGACAGAAUGACCAUUUUGUUGGAAGUUUUGAGUCUGAAAGAGUUGUUGCUUUUUGGAAGGAGAGGCAUCUUCAACUUGGUGAUGAAAUCCAAAGGGCAAGGGCACGUUUGGAAUUUGUGGAAGGCCAAAUUGAAGAUGACAAAAGGCAGGCCAAUCUGGAUAGGGCGAAGUUGUAGCGCAUGAAGCGUAGACACAAACGACUUCGGAGUGUAGCUGUUCAAAAAUACAAGAACUCAUCUAAUGUAGUGGAGUCAAAGAAGCGUGUGAUGCAAGCUGGAUUCGACUACUUCCGAUCCUAUGCAAAACUCGUCGUACCCGGGUUUGAUUGGUCAUCUAUUACCGUUUCCGACGUCACCAAAUAUACUCAGCAAGGGAAGUAACCAUUUUGGUUCUCGUGUUUUAGCAGAGGCAAAUAAGUGGAAUUGGAAUUUUGGUUACACUCUGCUUCAAAGCUAUUUUGAUGCUAACUACUAUGGAAGAUUUAAACCUUAAUAUUUUGAUGUCUUUAAUUACGAAAACAGAAGAUGCAAAGAGCUCAUCUACUUCAGCCAUAUGUUGCUGCCAUGUCCAUUUGUUUUUGAUCACUUAUCAGAUUUGGACAUGGUUGCAUCAUAUGCAAUGUUGCCUUUAUUUAUUAUAUGUUAGGACAAGGUUUAUGGAAAAGCUUUUGUGAGUGCGUUUGUGACAAGGUUAUGGAAUUAUUAUGUACACUUUAUAUAUUGUUUUUUGUACUGGUUCAUUUCCUACUAUUUCUUGCUUUCUUUAUAUUUUAUGUUUGUGGAAUCCCUCUCAAAGUUAACAUAUACUGUGAAAAAAAUAUUAUGCAACUGAUUAUAUAAUCACUCAUAUAGACUAGGACAAAUAUUCACUAAGGGUUUUAAACUUGCUUCACUUGUGUGAUGUUAUUGACAAAAAGUAUGGCAUUAUUUAUGUGAUUUGACAUGAUUGAAAAUAUAUUACUGAUUCCCAAUGCGGCGUCAUAUGGACAACGUAUUGAAUACCUGUGACGUGUUAAUAACUCAAGGUGCAGUUGCAUGUGGACAACUUCUUGAAUACCUCUGACGUGUUGAAAACUCUAGGUGCAGUUGCAUGUGGACAACUUAUUGAAUACGAACUGACGUCUUCAAAGCUCUAGGCGUAGUUGCAAUGAUGGCUUCAAAGCAUGUGCAAUUAUUUUUUAUGUACAUUAUUAUAACAAAACAUAUUAUUGUAUAUAGUGAAACUAAAUAUUGUAUUAUUAGAAAUUAUAUUUCGAAUAUUAUCCGAAAUAUACGUGUUAACGUGAAUUUGGGUUAAGAGGAAAGUGAGUUAUGUACAAAUAAUUUUCAUUUUCUCAUUUUCCGGGCAUUUUUUGGAUUUUCGUAGAAUUUAUUACCUAUGUCCACAGAUUGUUGCACUAAAAAAGCCAAAAUAAUAGCAAGAGGACACCUGGAGCGAUCUCAGCCCGUCACUGAUGACUACUUGCACAAGUGUACGUCAGUCAACAUGGCCACACCCUCCCAUUUUACCCUAAAUUAUUAUUUUAUUACUUUUCCUUACAAAAAUCAGAACUAAUUACACACAAAAUAAAAAAAUUAUCCGAAAAUUGCUACGAACUCAUUGACACUCCAUCUCCGUUGCUGAAUUCUCCGAUUCAUUGUUACGUAUUUGUAAAAUUAAUUCCCAACAUUAACGGGAGAUGCUUGUUGAAGUAGGUUAUUCAAGUUGAAGUUAACAAACAUCAAUACUUAGGGUUAAGAGGAAAGUGAGUUAUGUAACACAAUUUGGAUUAUUUCAUUGCGAGACGAAUGAUUUAUAGGUUCUCCUAGUUUUAUGACGUCACAAGUAGGCCGGAGUAAUUUUUGGGGCAUUUUUACGAUUUUCCUACUAUUUUUUACCUAGUUUCAAAGAUUUUUGAACAAAAGAAUCCAAAAUGUAAAAGAAGAUGACACCUGGCGCGAUCUCAGCCCGUCACUUUUCACUACUUGCACAAGUGUACGUCAGUCAACAUGGCCACAUCCUCUCAUUUUACCCUAAAUUAUUAUUUUAUUACGUUUUGUCUUGGAAAAUUCAUAACUAAAUACACAAAAAUUCAAAAUUAUUUCUGAAAAUUGCUACGAACUCAUUGACACUCCAUCUCCGUUGCUGAAUUCUCCGAUUCAUUGUUACGCAUUUUUAAAAUUAAUUCCCAACAUUAACGGGAGAUGCUUGUUGAAGUAGGUUAUUCAAGUUGAAGUUAACAAACAUCAAUACUUAGGGUUAAGAGGAAAGUGAGUUAUGUAACACAAUUUGGAUUAUUUCAUUGUGAGACGAAUGAUUUAUAGGUUCUCCUAGUUUUAUGACGUCACAAGUAGGCCGGAGUAAUUUUUGGGCCAUUUUUACGAUUUUCCUACUAUUUAUUACCUAGUUUCAAAGAUUUUUGAACAAAAGAAUCCAAAAUUAACAAGAAUAUGACACCUGGCGCGAUCUCAGCCAGUCACUUUUGACUACUUGCACAAGUGUACGUUACCGAACAUGGCCACAUCCUCCCAUUUUACCCUAAAUUAUUAUUUUAUUACCUUUUUUCUUGGAAAAUUCAUAACUAAAUACACAAAAAUUAGAAAAACGAUCCGAAAAUUUCUACGAACUUAUUGCGAUUUCAUCUUCCUACUGCAUUCCCUGUUUAAUGGUUAUGCUACAUUAGUAUUUUAUUAUUAUUUAUCCACAAUUAUUAUAAUUAUUAUGAUAUUACUUUUUAGGCUGUCCAUUUGUUAAUUAUACCACAUCCAACUUGUUGAAAACAAUUUUAUUUUCCGUGCGAAUAGGCCAUUUGUAGUGCUUAUCGGUUUCUCUGUUCUUCAAUUUGUUAAUUUUUUUAUUUUUUAGGUUGAAGGGAUGUUUUGAAACAUAAUAUGGAAAUAUACAAGUCAUCCAUUGUACUCCUUCCACACAAAAAAAUAGUCUACGUCAUUCACUGUUCAACACCCUAGGUUAAGACACGUGUAACCAAAUCCGUUCGGAUAUGCUAAGUGGGAAAAUGUCAUUCCCAAGCACUGGUGAAAAGACACUUAUUUACUCCAUGCAUGACUUUUGGUUUACCAAAUAUGAAGAUUGGGGUCGGUGAGCAAAAUAUCUGUGUCAGUAAAAUGUCAUUCCUAGCCAUCUAUGAUGUAAGUAAUAAUUCCGCUAUAUAAUAAAUAUUAUACAUUUAUAUAUAAAACGGUUUAUGACAAAAUACCAACAUUUGAACAACAUUUAAACUGAGAUAGGUAUAACGUAGCCAGCCAACCUAGAAGUGAAGAGAAGCAAGUCCACAAUGCAUCAAAACUGUAAAUUCGUACUAAAACUAAUGCAAAAAUACGUGAUUCCCUCGCACAACUUACUCACGCAGGAUUUUGCACCAAAAAAUACUCUCACGGUGCCAUUUGCAUCGGUUGCAGCAAGUCCAAAACGCAGGAUUUAUCUUGUCUUCACUAGGCCACCCUGGAAUAACAAAAUACCAUUCAUUGUUGUUACAAGCGCUGCACCGAUUGAACUUAAUCUUCCCAUAGUCAAACAUAUCUACGAUAUGUCUUGCAACAAAUGCUCCGCGACAUCUUCCUGUUAAAGCAUCCCUGGUUCCUUUCAUAUCAAUGUUGUUACGUUGAUUCAAAGAACACAAGAAUUGUAAUGCAUCCUCUUUUGACUGACCAAUUCCGGACAUACCAAGUAGUCCAACUACAUAUGCCGCUUCCAUAUGGCCUGCCGUGGCUGCAAUGCGCAUCCCAUACAACGCUUCCACCUUACCGUCUGUGAAAAAACCUUCGAAUGCUUCUCUAAAUAUGGACUCAGGGUUAUCGCAAGCCCUGCAUUGUUGCAAGAAAUGCUGGACUGCAGGUUUGGCACGGUAGCAGAUAGGAUGGUGUGGGUACUUUGCCAUUGAAAUGGUGUUCCACACUUGUGGACUGUUUGCCAAAAUGUUGAACAAUCGGCACACACAUGCCAUACGGAAGAGAUCUUCCGAUGAUUCGGUUGCCACGUAUAACAUCACUUGAAACCAAGCGGACUCCGGGAUAAAGGCUUCGGGCAUAUCGAAAUGGAGAUGCUUCCUUCUCUUUCCUCCGACUGUAGUGAAGUGUUUCGAAUUCAUUGAAAAGUUUUUGGAAUGGAACGAUUUGAGGAGUGGCAGAGGGGAUAAAUGAUAAUAUUUGGGGUACACGUUCUACUUCCGAGCCUCUGUUUAUAGUGUUUUGAAAAGGUGUUUCCAGUUGGGGUUUUUCCAAGUUGACCCUUUUGAAAGAAACUGAAUCCAAGUGAAUUAAAACUUAAGACAAAAGAAGGGAAAACGUCAUAACGGUGCAUACAGAGUCAGACAGUUAAAAAGUUAAUUAAAUGGCUAUUUGCAUAGCCAUUUUUGGGUUUAUCCCACUAUCAAAUUCAUUGAUACAAAUGUGAUGGAUUACUGACUAGUGACAGAAGGUCCCAUCAUAUACUUUUUCAUUUUCGCACACCCAACUAUCCCUAGUAAUGUUAUUAAAAUGGAACCAAUAAUGACGGAUUCUUAUCCAACUAGUUGCCUUAAUGAAAUAUAAAUAAAUUAAUAAAAUUGAAGCAGUGUCCCGUCAUUAGUCAGAAAAUAUAUUUGGUAGUGAAGUAGUUUCUAUUGCUUUUCGGGCUAAAAGAUGUCACAAUGCUGACGGUACAGGUGUCGACAUCGUGACCAACCCACCAAAUGAUCCCAAAAAAAAGUAAUAUAACUCGAUUUGGGCAGAGAUGAGAGAGAGCUGAGUGACAAGUUUAGGGUUAUGAGUGAAGGGGUAUGAAUGACAACUAUGAGUGAGAAGGUAUGAGUCCGAAGAGGUUUCAGUGAGAAGAUUUGAGUGAGAAGAGGUACAACUGAGAAGAUUCAACAUGUCUUCGUCUUCAUCUCCUGCUCAAACAAAGAGGUGUCAGUAUUGUGGAGCUACAAUGGUGCUUCGGGUUUCAAAAUCUGAAAAAAAAUCGAGGGAAGCCAUUCUGGAAGUGUCUAACCUCCUAUGUAAGUUUUAAUUUAAAGAAUAUGUAUGUGGGUGAAAAAAAACCUAUGUCUAACUCUGACAGAAUUAUAUUCCAUAUAUGAUGCCUGCAAUUAGGGAGCCACCAGUUGCAAUGGAUUCGAAUGGGUUGAUGUAACCUCCGCUGAAGCAGAACAUCAAGAUGACACGUAUGAUGUUAGAGUGCUGAACAUGCUGAAGUCCAUUAAGGACUUGGUAUUAGUUUUAUUAGUUGUAUUAAUUGUCAUUUUAUUUGUUCUUUUAAUGAUCAUUUAACUGCACGGUUUAAAAGAUUGUGAAAGUUCUCUCGCACAAGACAUAUUGCACGCACCACCAAUGAGACCCUAAACCCAUUUUGUAAUAUUUGGUAACUGCAUGUAUUUCGCAUGUUAUUGAAUGUUUAUUGAAGGUUUAUUGAUAGUUUGCUGCAUGUAUAUGGAAUAUCAUUGCCCCAAAAUUGGAUGUUUAUUGGGGCCACAAGUAUCACUCAAGUAAGAAUGAAGGGGAGAAACGGACCUUAUUCUUUCUUAUAGUAGGAAGAACAACUGUUAAGUUUAAUAUCCUAUUCAAUACGACUUCCCUAUGGUUGGUGUACUUGGGGACUGAAGUAUAUUGCAUCAUUAUUGUGGGCAAGGGCAUGUCUAUUGUGUGUGUUAAGGGAGUAUUGUGUGGGCAAGGGCAUGUCUACUGUGUGUAUAUUGCAUGUCUACUGUGUGUAUAUUGCAUAUCUAUUCUCUGUAUAUGGCAGGCCAAGUUUGUGUAUAUUGUUUGUCUGUUGUGUGUGUAUUGCUUGUCGGUGCGUUUGUGAAUUGUGGUUCAUUUUGUGUAUAUUGUCUUUGUUUCUACUUUUAUGCUACUGAGCUGCGGAAAACCUCGCAUGUUUAGACACCUAUUAUGAUGCAACACAUUGCGAUUAAUGGUGGCUUGCAUCAACAAUGACAUAUCACUUUGCAAUGAUGUAAUACACUUAAAAAGCCGUCUUCAAAUCCCAAUUCACAUAUGCAGUCUUAAAAUUCUAAUUCAAUGCAGUUUGGUUAACAAACAUGUAAAUGUCAUGAAGGAGUUAGCGGUAGAAUUCGAUAAGGACCCGUACGUCUCUAUUGUGUAUUUACAUUAGUUUGAGAAUGGACAUUCCCAAAACCUUCUCAUGUACCAUUUGUCAUCUUCAACCAAUAUCAUGGGAAGUAAGCAUCUCCCCUUGUUAUCUCCGCAGCCAAUUUCAACCGAAAAAAAGGCAUGUUGUGCGAGGUGCAAGUAGCUAACGGAAGCUUAGCGCUGAAAAGCUCAAUGUACUUUAACACAAACAUGCCACAAUCGCCUCUGAAGCAAAACAAGAACUCGAUCAAUUCAACUAAUGACAUUCUAAUGUAAUUGACAAUUGAAAGUAAUAAAAUUAAAUUGCAAGUUGUGCUUACUCAUUAGACUGUUGUGGAACAUCCACACGCUCUAUUGGCCACGGACACCACCAAUCUCGGCUGCAAUUGUUUGCAUAAACACCUUCUUCAUAAAAGUCGAUGGUGUUGAGAAGAUUUGGAAGCGUAAUUGAUAGCGGGCCGAGUUCUUCCUUUACGAUGUCAUCUGGAAUUAGUGAAACCUUUGAAUCGUACACUUUGAUUCACACAAUACCAGAUCAAACANNNNNNNNNNNNNNNNNNNNNNNNNNNNNNNNNNNNNNNNNNNNNNNNNNNNNNNNNNNNNNNNNNNNNNNNNNNNNNNNNNNNNNNNNNNNNNNNNNNNNNNNNNNNNNNNNNNNNNNNNNNNNNNNNNNNNNNNNNNNNNNNNNNNNNNNNNNNNNNNNNNNNNNNNNNNNNNNNNNNNNNNNNNNNNNNNNNNNNNNNNNNNNNNNNNNNNNNNNNNNNNNNNNNNNNNNNNNNNNNNNNNNNNNNNNNNNNNNNNNNNNNNNNNNNNNNNNNNNNNNNNNNNNNNNNNNNNNNNNNNNNNNNNNNNNNNNNNNNNNNNNNNNNNNNNNNNNNNNNNNNNNNNNNNNNNNNNNNNNNNNNNNNNNNNNNNNNNNNNNNNNNNNNNNNNNNNNNNNNNNNNNNNNNNNNNNNNNNNNNNNNNNNNNNNNNNNNNNNNNNNNNNNNNNNNNNNNNNNNNNNNNNNNNNNNNNNNNNNNNNNNNNNNNNNNNNNNNNNNNNNNNNNNNNNNNNNNNNNNNNNNNNNNNNNNNNNNNNNNNNNNNNNNNNNNNNNNNNNNNNNNNNNNNNNNNNNNNNNNNNNNNNNNNNNNNNNNNNNNNNNNNNNNNNNNNNNNNNNNNNNNNNNNNNNNNNNNNNNNNNNNNNNNNNNNNNNNNNNNNNNNNNNNNNNNNNNNNNNNNNNNNNNNNNNNNNNNNNNNNNNNNNNNNNNNNNNNNNNNNNNNNNNNNNNNNNNNNNNNNNNNNNNNNNNNNNNNNNNNNNNNNNNNNNNNNNNNNNNNNNNNNNNNNNNNNNNNNNNNNNNNNNNNNNNNNNNNNNNNNNNNNNNNNNNNNNNNNNNNNNNNNNNNNNNNNNNNNNNNNNNNNNNNNNNNNNNNNNNNNNNNNNNNNNNNNNNNNNNNNNNNNNNNNNNNNNNNNNNNNNNNNNNNNNNNNNNNNNNNNNNNNNNNNNNNNNNNNNNNNNNNNNNNNNNNNNNNNNNNNNNNNNNNNNNNNNNNNNNNNNNNNNNNNNNNNNNNNNNNNNNNNNNNNNNNNNNNNNNNNNNNNNNNNNNNNNNNNNNNNNNNNNNNNNNNNNNNNNNNNNNNNNNNNNNNNNNNNNNNNNNNNNNNNNNNNNNNNNNNNNNNNNNNNNNNNNNNNNNNNNNNNNNNNNNNNNNNNNNNNNNNNNNNNNNNNNNNNNNNNNNNNNNNNNNNNNNNNNUUUUCCUCUCCCUCAUCUCUAUUAUUUGGCCCUUCACCCCCUUCAAUCCCUUCAUCUUCUUUUUCCUCUCCCUCAUUUCUGUUACUUGGCCCUUCAUCCCAUUGAAUGUCAUCCAUUUCCCCAUAUCCCUUAAAUAGAUGUGAGACGACACAACGAUUCGUCCUCUGUUUCAGUAAAGCUAGGUCCCUCCUUACUUCCUGCUCAAACUGAGGACCUAAACAUUGGUCCAAUAGUUUUUCCAUCCGUAUGACCUUUAAGUGAAGGACGUCUUUUUCCCGCUUUUCUUGAAACAACUCGGACCUCAACAAGCUUACCACCUUGUUCAACUCAUCAAGAUCACCACAUGAAGAAGGAAUUGACUCUGCCGAGACAACAGCAGGGCGAUCCUGUGGCCAACUCCAAUAUGGCUGUCUCAUUUCCUCUUCACUUAGACAUAGCGCCCGCAACUGAACUGACUGUUUCAGAAUACAGACAAGAGUCAUAUUAAAUCAUUCUACUUCAUAAUUUCAUUCAAUCUUAUCAAUAGUUCUAAGGGCUGCAAACCAAACCUCUUUGCUCUGGAAAAAAUAAUUGUUCAACUUUCUCAUCUCUGGAACAGACGUAGUAGUUCUCCAUCGCAAAAUACGCGGGACAGCGGUCGGAUCAACAACCUUGCAGUAAUUCAGGUCCGCCAUUCUAGGAAUUAAUUCAUAUACCCAAAUCUACACAAUUCACAGGACAAAAGUCAUUAUUUAUGUUUUAAAGAAAAACAAAACAUAACUGACAUGAACAUUAUUACCAUGUACCUGGAAAGCAUACGUGAAACCUUUAAAACUCCAGCCACUCCUUUGCGCUUCACUAUGCUUAUCCUUCUUGCCCUUCUCAUUUCUCCGGCUUGUUCCCGUUACCUUACUUUUCCCCUUCCCUCUUCCCUCUUCAUUUUCCAAGCUUUUCACAUACUUUGUUGGUGCAGAAAAUAGACUGUCUUGGGUUUUGUCAAAGGACACCGAACCCCACGGAUACCUGUUGAACGCAUCCAAGUCCUCUACAAGGGUCAGGUAAUUUAGAUUGAUGUUCAAAUGUUUGUCCCUUCCCAAAACCACUAACUCAGCAAAGUAAACAAGAGGUAGCUUGAAGAUGUCAUCUUCCUCUGUGCACCUCACAAAUGCUUCUUCUAAAGCAUUGCAUGUAAUUCCUUCGUCUAUAAAAUAUCUUUUCUGAAGUCUGAUUUCAUUACUCUCUCCACUGGAAACUUCAGGCACUUCCCCAAAACGAAGCCCUGUGAUCAAACAGAAAUCCUGACGAGUGAACUGAGCAACGUCACACCCUAAUAAGAAACUCAGUCCAUCCAAGUCUUUCACACCCUGCCCCGCUACUCUACGCAACACAACCCCAUGCACAAUCUGUCCGCUAAACUGAAUCUUAUCUAUAUUCAGAAGAUGGCCAAAGCAUGAUGUCUUGAAUUGUUCUAAUUGUUCCGCACUCAACUUCGCUCGAAUUGCAGCUAGAGAUGAAUUUGCAUGUGAGCAGUUGUUCACCCGUGAUGAAUAUACCUCUGCCUCUGGCCAUACCAGCUCCACGUUGGAUCCCAUUUCCUCAAAUACAAUGUGAAAUAACGUGAACAUAUAUACUACCACGUAUUUGCACAAUCACAACUAGUCAACCAGGCACAUUACAACUUUUACAAAGUACAUGAGCAUAUGGAUUACUCAUCACAGGCUUUAACAUCAUCAAAGCAAUAUGACAAUUUUUGUGCAAAUACCUGUUAAUGCAAUGAUUAUGUGAAUUACAAACAAUUUCACGUGUUUUAUUUAUGGAUCCAUACUCGUGUGAGUGCAAUGUAGGCAAGUUCUGCACUUCACACACAUGACAAUUAUUGUCAUCUCAUACACAACCCAAAAUAAAUAAAUAAGAAAUAUAGUGGAAGGAAGCAAAGCAAAGCAUGUACUCUGCUAUCUGCUUGCUAAGCAAUUGCCACAUCCUUCUUUCUUUCUACCUUUUUCUUCAGUCACCCACAAUCGUCAUAGAUCAACCUUCAUUUCAAAUGCUUUGCACUUUUAUUCAUGAGUUUAUUAUUAUCUGUUCUCAUUUCUCAUAGGCAAAUUUAGUAACAAAUGAAAUAAUAUUUAUUUCACAAAAUAUAUAAAUUCUAGUGCCAGAGAGGUACUCUUCACUCUGCACUGCUUCAAAUGUGGAAGGUUUUGAGAUGUUAUUGACAUGUGAUUGACUUUAUUUUCAUUCGUUUUUUAACAUAUACCCAAGCAAAAAUUAACAUGCAAUUGAAGCACAAAUAAGAGAUGCCAAAUCCAACAACAUUGAUGGUACAAAUUGGGGAAAACCAUUACUCUAACCCUAAACUCAAAUUCCUUACAUUACUCAUCAAAUGCUUUGCAGUUCUAUUCAUGAGUUUAUUAUUAUCUGUUCAAAUGUUUCUCAGGCAAAUUUAGUAACAAAGGAAAUCAUAUUUACUUCAUAAAAUAUAUAUAUAUAUAUAUAUAUUCUAGCGCCUCUUCUUAAUCUGCACUAUGCACUGCUUCAAAUGUGGAAGGUUUUGAGGGCCUCCUCCAAUUCAACACCAUUAUCUUAUUCAUAUCAUUAUUGACAUGUUAUUCACUUGUUAUUGACUUCAUUUUCAUUCUUUUUUUAACAUAUACCUAAGCAAAAAUUAACAUGCAACUGAAGCACAACGAAGAGAUGCCAAAUCCAACAAAAUUUAUGGUACAAAUUGGGGAAAACCAUUACUCUAACCCUAAACUCAAAUUCCAUAAAUUACUCACCAAAUGCUGGUUAUUGCAAGGUGUCUGUGUGGGGUCUUUCUGUUUCUUUGCUCCACAAAUGGAACCUACCACUUCCAACGAAUACAGCUUUUCCCCUUCCCCUUCCACUGCUUCGCCUCUUCACUGAUUUGGAAUCCACACCUUUGCCCCUUCUACUCCAAAUAAAUACUUUCUCGGGGUCUGGAGAACGGAGUGGCGAAUCGUUGCCUUCAACUGUCGUUAGCCGUUGCCUUCAUUGGGUAUCUCAGACCUCUGUGUUUUAGAGAGAUGAGUUCUUUCUGUUCAAACUUCGAACUUGCCUCUUCUUCUUCUUUUUCGGACGUGUUUCCCUCUUCUUCUUCUUUUUGGACGUGCUGGAUAUUCAAUUCGGGUUUGGGUUCCUUACCUACCCAAUUGUGAAACUUUAACUCAAUUCUCCCCAGCCCUUGGAUUAAUCUGAUGGCUAUAAAGUGAACCCCUUAUAACUUACCCCUUAUAACUUUCCACUCAUUAUAGUCUUGGCCAGGUAUGGCGGCCAUGCUAGUAAGUGUUGGGUCUUUGACCCAACUUAAGCUAAAUGGGUCAUAAGAUGACCGAUCAUCUUAUCUCAUAAGGAUAUAUAAGUCAUGUUAUGAUUUAGGAUUUUAUAGGGUUUCCUUUGUAAGAGGUAAGAGAGAAACAAGCUCUCUCUCUCUCUACACAAGGAGGUCAGCCAUAGCAAGGGAAAGGCUCCUAGCACUCUCCUCUCUCUUAUUAUAUCAUCCUUCCAAGGACAGCUUUGGUAUGGUAAAGUUGGAGGUUGCACACUUUGUGCACUUUGGUAAGAACUCAUCCAAGGGAGCCAAGAUUAAAUUGGUUAGCUGUUGGAUUAAAUUGGUUAGCACGAUUCAACGGUUAAUAGAUAAAACUUCACAUAAAAGUCAUAUAUAAGGCCCUCACUAUAGAAUGACUCGUUAGUUUAGUCUCUUGUUACAUAUCAAAUGUUAGAGAUAUUUUUUAAUAAGGAUCUGCCAUACCACAUAGUUGGAUAAGACAUUAUACACGGCUUUUGUAAGAGCAUCUCCAGCGCUCCAAACUAGCCCAAGCAGCAGGGGGGCCUAAGUCUAGGAAGCAGCUCCAGCUCGCAAGAUUCAACCCAGGCAAGGUGUGGAACCCACGAGGAGAUCUAGCCCGUCACCUUGCCUUUGGGUUUCAGUCAAGCUGAUGUCAACGAAAGAAUUUCAAAUUUUUUUUACCGUUACAAUGUACGCGCCAACGAUAAAUUUUCUUUGGAUUUCUUGCAUUGAUCCACAGCUACCAAAAACCAACAGCUACAAGCCACGUGGCUUCUCCAGGAGCCUCCGAUCCAAAAAUCAUGUCAAAUCUAACGGCAGUCCAUUUUUUGGCUAAAAAUAUCAAAAAAUUAUGGAAACAUGUUCUAUAAAUUCCUACAAAUAUUAUUCACUUCCCACACCAAAUCUUCAUACAAAUUCAUAUCCUUUCAAUAUUUUUCACUUUCCAUACAAGAUUUUCUACUACUAAGUUUCGUUUGUGUAAAAAUACAAAUGACCUCUUCUAUCGAAGCCGGAGGCGCGUGUACAACCGUGGAAGAUAUUUUGUUGCGUGAGUGUUGGGUCAAAGUUGGUCAUUCCCUGAUCACGGGCAAUGAGAUGAAGUCCUCUCGUAGGAGUUUCUGACAUCGCAACGAAAGUAAGAUGUGAUAUGAAAAUGUAAGGAAUUUGAUGAGAGGAAUGGGAUUUGAGGAGUUUGAUGUAGGAAUUGAUGUAGGAAUUGAAUUUGGGAGGUAUGUAUAUAAGAUUUGAGGGUAUGUGUUUAGGGAUUUUGAUAAGAGGAUUUGAGGAAUUUAGAUUUGAAGGAUUUGGAUUUGGGGAAUUUAAAUAUGAGGAAUUUGAUUAGGGUUUGGGUUUGAAUAUGUGAAAUUUGAUAUGAGAGUUUAGAGACAACAGAUGAUCGAUUGCUCUGAUACCAUGCUAAAAUAUGAUAUGGUUUGAAUACUUUAGGUUGAGUUUUAUUCUUUUCCAUAAAAAGGUAUAUAUAGGAGUUUACAUGAGUGCUUUACAAAGAAAUAGAUACAAUAAUCAAUUAGGAUAAUAUCUCCUAAUUAUACAAUAAUUUGUCAACUAUAUAGAAUAGGAAAGUAAAUUCCUUAAUUAAUCAAGAAAAUAAAUCUCAUUGAUUAAUUAGGAGACUAACGUCAACAUUUAUAAGCCAUAAAAGAGCAGAAAAAGAGGUACUUAGGAGAUUUUAUACGUCGGACUAAGGUAAGCUUAAAGGACUAUAUCAAAAAAAUAAGGGACCAAGAAGCAAGACAGAGAAGUUGUUAUGCAAACCCAUUAAGUUUAGCAGUGAUGAAUUUGUAAAAAUCAUUCUAGUGGAUUCUGCCUUCACUAUUGAGUUCUUAUUGAGGUUCUAUCUGAAAGGAUCUGGACAUGAAGGAGACCGCUUAUUAAACAAACCGUGGAUGUUUACAGCCUGACAUGUGGUUGCUUGAAAAUCAGCUCCCAUUCUUUAUUCUUGAGGAUCUUUAUCACACAUACAUAAUAACCGACUCUUUUAGGAAUUAUUACAGUACUCAUGAUCAUGAGAGGCUUUCAAUAAUUAAUAUUUCUAAGAAUUUCUUCACAGCCGGAAUAUUGAAUUUGGAGGGGAAGGGAGACAAAUGGAACAGAAUAUCAUCUUCUUCUAGUGUUGGAAAUUUUAUAUUAUUUAAUAAUAUUUAAUUUCUAUUGUGAAUGAAAAAUAAGUUUCUUUAAGAAACGUGUGUCUUAGGCCAGUUUUUCUAACUGGUCGGCUUCCUUAGAUUUGUGCCUAUUGCUUUUCAAAGUAUAAUGAUGCAAUGGUUGUAUCUCGUUCAGGCAAAUGGAAGGUAUAUAGCAAUUUAUAGAACAAUACAGUAAUCCAGAAGAAAUAUUAUGAAAUGAAAAGAAUAAAAAGUAAAAAAAGAGAAAGAAAGGAAUUCCCACCUGCAAUGUAUAUGUAUGAAAGGAAGGACCAAGUUUGUUUUAAAAUGGUAAGAACAAGUUGAUUUUAAAUUGGGUUCAGAUCAACUCAUAGAUUUCUUGCCUUUUCUGUUCUCCUUCCUUGGACAUGAACUGUUUAAUCUUGGACUCUUCCCCAUCAUGUUGGGCCUGUCUUCUUCUUGAGGAUUGUAUAGGCCUAGGAAAUGCUUCGGGGUAGUUUUUGUGUUUUGGGCAUUGGGACCCAACUUCACAAAAAGAAAACAAAUUUGACCAAAACACAAAUUUGAAGGACAUUGAAAUUGUACCCGUAGGAUAGAUUAAAACACUAUAAGGGAGGUAAAUAGUACGUUUACAGAGUUUAAGUGUAAUAAAGGAAUAAAAACAUGCCCAGAGAAUUGAUAAGUGAUAUCAAUUCUUGAAUAUACGUGAAAAUUAUUUUAUGUGGUUAAACCCCACCUCUGGGGAAAAUCCACGGAACUUCUUAGUCCAACUUCUAUCACUUAUCCUAGACACAUUCUAGAUAAUGUUUGCCAACCUCUUCGUAACUCAACUUCUGUCACGAGAUGAUCUUUCAACACUUUAUGUCGAACGCAAUACUGGUCACGAUUUCUUCAAGCUCGCCGGAGUUCUUCCAAUUCUCCUUAUAUUGAAUCUGAUACUAGUCACGAUCGAUUCAAGCUCAUCGGAGAAAAAUCGCCACAACAAUCUUGGUGCCCUCAACCGUAUGAGUCACUGAACAUGCAAAUGAAUACAAUAUGAAUGAUAAAAGUGUUUGAUAAAUCACCAAGUUAUGGAACACUUGAUGAUUUAUCUCAAAUAAAAAUUCAGCUUUCCAAAGUUUAUGAAUUGAAAAUAUGACCGUUAAAGCUCUCUAAACAAAGAAGACGAAGGUCUUAUUUUAUAGACUUUUACUUUACAAGAAAGAAAACACGUUGAAAACCAAAUCUCCAAUUUCCAAGGCUUGACAGAAAAUCACAAAAUUAUCUUUCCUAUUCUAGAGAUUGGUCACAUGAAGUCCAACCAAUAGGAAAUGAGAUAUUUAAGAAAGGAAGAUUUUGAUCAAUAUCAAUAUCAAAUGAAUUCUUAUACGCCUAGUCAAUUGUUAUGGGUAUCUUGACUCCUUGAUAUUGUGAUAUGAUUGAAACAUGAUUUCCACGUUAGAAAAUUAAGGGGAUGUUAAAACAUGAAGGUAAUAGGAGAAUCAAAUUGAUUUGGGCCAAAAUUGCCUAAAAAGAAAACACUCCUUAAUAAACUUCAAUUUACUUUUAAAAAUAGUAAAACGUGAUUGAAUCGUUCUUUAAAACAAUUCCCUAAUAUACAUGCAUGAUAGUGAUAUCACUUACCUUUGAAUCAGAUGGCUUUCACGGGUCAAGCCACAAGUUUUUGUCUUGGGGAUUGCUGAGCUUCAUCAAUCCUGCCAAUGUCAAUUUUGCCCCUAAGCUCUCUCAAAGCACGUUUACAACCUAUGCUAACAUAUAUUAGAGUUUAUGUUAGUAUCAAGAAAAUGCCAACACUAAUUUCGUAACACGUAGAAAUUGUUAGAGAUUGAAGUUUUUAUCAUUUUUUCUUCCAGACUCUCCACCACUCACUAAUAUAGUUUACUCAUGUGAUGAGUUUACAAAACCUAUUUCUCUACUCUCACAAAGACUAUACUUAGGGGGGUGUAUUCAAUUAGGAUUCUAAAGCGUUUAAAAAGAUUUUGUUUAAGUGCCAGCUUUCAUAGAACUUGAUGGAACUUUAUAAUUCGUAUAGAACUUGAUAGACUUUCAGAAGACUUCUGUAUAAUUUUUUAAUAAAACUUUCUUAAGCUUUCAUAGAACUUGAUAGGCUUUCAUUCCAAACUUAUGUAGAUGGUAUAUUUCAUUUUAUCCCCAUCCUUGACAUUUAAAGAAAGAAACUUGAAUUUUUUCAAUCAAAUUUGUUUUUGUUACCAAAGCAGCAAAAACAAAAAGUACUUGUUUGCGAUGGAAGAACAUAUGCACAGUUCAAAAUGAAAAGAAUAAGAAGCAAAGUACCUAUUUGACCAAUGAAUGCUGUGUCAACUAGAGAAGCAAUUGGAUCGGCUGUCAAAGCCAAUGCUGCAGGCAAUGCAUCGAUGGUCCAAAUUGCAAUAAAAAAAUAUUUUGAAUAAUGGCUCUUGCAGACAAAGACCACAUAAAUUCUGAACUGGUCUAGCUUGAAUAAUAAGGUUAGAUUAGCCAAUUGAUGAGAUUAAAAGCAAAGCAAGUUGAUGAAUUUAUCAUCAACUAUUUAAUAACCACAGUCCUGAUCUCUUGGACCCCUGUAGUCCAAGAGAUUUAUGGUCACCCACCGUUGGAUGUAAAUUCAACGGUUGACUUGAAUCGGGUAAUAAUCAUUUAUGUCAUAUUGCAUUUAUAUAUAUCAUUUUGAACCAUUGGAUUAAUAUCCAACGGUGGGUGACCACAAUCUCUUGGACUCCUGUGGUCCAAGAGAUCGGGACUGUUAAUAACCAAUAGAGUAUUUAAACAUAAACAACAAUGUUUGAUCAACAAAACAAAUAGUCCAAAUAUCAUCCAAAAAACAAUAACAAAAAAUCAAUCAUUCCAAACAAACUAGUCAUUCUCAAAAACUCUCAAAAAACCCACUCAUUCCAAAUUGUAGGAUAUCCAAUUUGAGCACUCCUCAGGAGACAUUUUCAAAAAUGCAUCCUUUUUUGUGUUACUAUGCAACAAAGAGAGUGCUUUAUAACGAGCAUGUUCAUCCAAAUUUGGGGUCUCCUUAAUGGCAUCCCAUAUAUAACUCCGCUGCUCUCUCUCUUUUUCCCUUUUUGCCAAUAGGUUAUGGACCUCCCGGAAGUCGAUGACAAUUGAAUCAAUGCUAAGGCUAAUUCUUCCCAUAGCUUGCUGGGUGGUCACAUUUGAGAUAGCAUUCCCUUCCAAAUAUGUUCUAGUUCGUUUCCUCUAGUAACAAGCAUAAAUCCUAGUAACAAGCAUAAACCCUAACCCCAACCUAUAACCUAAUAACAAGAAGAAAACCCAACGAGGUAUUGAUCAAAGAAAAAUUAGGGAGCAUACCUUCACAGAUGGAGGAAGGAAGCUGUUCGUCUUCGCAGAGAGAAAAUCUAGGGAAAGAGAAAAACGUCUUAUGAAAUACUUGGGGGGGAGGUUGGAUUUAUUUUGGUCUUUUUUAUUUAUAACUCUCCCCUUAAAACCUACGUAAAUUUAUCACUUAAUGAAAUCCUUCCAAAUAUAUGACCUUUCGAAUACACCUAGAUUUGAUUCAACUUUUUUAUAAUCAUAAUUGAAUACACCCAUAUUUGAAUGGACUUUUUAAAAGUUCAUAUAGGUCCGAAAUGAAUAUACUCAAACUUGUAAAACCUCUUUUAAAGUUUGUAUAAAUCCAAAUUGAAUACACCUGGAUUUUUAAAAUCUUUUUAAACACUUUAUAAUCCUAAUUGAAUACACCCCCCUUAUUCUCAAAAGACUAUAUUACUUUACCUCUAUCUCUGUGAAAUGUAAAAAGUUGAAACUUUAAUGUCAAACCUCAACAAAAGAUGAACUUUCAUCAGUUACGUUGAAUUUGGAUUUGUUGAACUUAAGUGGUUUUAUUUUCUUUGUCAGUGUUUGAUGACUUAAUUUGGUAUUUAUUUCUUCUUUUUUUUCCUUGGAAAUGUGUUCCACCAACGUGAGGAAGAAAAAUAUGCACAAAUUAAUAUAUUUAAUAGAAGCCCAAGAUUUCGGAUGCAUAUAAUUUCUACAAAAAUCUACAAAGUUUUUUACUUUACAAACUUCUUAUGUCUACCAAUUUCUACUAAAAUUAAUUUCUCUGUGGUGCUCAAAUUCAUCAUAUGUGUGUCGUUAAUUUUAUUGAAAAUUGGAAGUUCCCAUCAUUUUUGUUUUUUGGGAAUUUUCUGAACCAAGGAAAAUCAAGUAAAAUUAAUAAAGCCUAAAUUGGAAAGGGAAAAUAUCUAGAGGAUGCAUUGUAGGAUUGCUCAUGCCAAUAAUUGUACCCUCUAAAUAUAUAGAGACAUAUUUUUUUUGUUUUCAUGACAUGUGGUCCUAAAAUUAUUGUGUAAAUCUUCAAUCCUGAACGAUGCACCUAAAACUCAUCCACCCAUUCUCAGGCCAAUUAUUGCACCUAGUGGGCUCUCGACCCCCUCUCAAAUUUAACCACAUAUUUUAUGGACCAUCCAGCUGUGAGGUACAUUCCCCCCACAUGCCACAAUUGUAUAUUCACAAUUACGUCUGAUACAUCACAUCAUGCCACUUGCCUCAAAUGAAUUUAAGUGAGUGAGGCAGUUGGAAGUAAUUAAGCUCUAUAUUGGUGGGUGGAGUGUUACUUCUCGGUUCCCCUCAUCAUUCGUCUAUAAAAUGGUGAAGGCAGUUGCUAUUGUUACCAUAAGAGCCAGCUCCGACUUCCUUUAAUUUCUUGCUUCAUAUCCACUAGCUACAUCUGUUACCAAGUUAAUUUCAGUUCUAAUGGGGUUUCAUCUCCCACUCAUCUUUGCUCUUCUCAGUGUAAGCUCUGCAAUUUGAUUAACUUUUCCAUUCUCUCUCAUUGUACUCUAUAUAAACGAAAGUUUUGUGUUCCUAUUGUUCUCUCCGAUUUUAUUUAGUACGUACUUAAGUGUCGUCCACUAAUUAAUUAUACUUUGUGAUUUGAUUUUAAUUUGAGUUUGAAUUAAUGUUGCAGCUAGCAGCAGUGGCACUGGCAAACCAUGCUGCUCAACCAGCACCUCAACUUUACUGGAGCUCCGUCCUGCCAAACACACAGAUGCCAAGAUCUAUCAGUGAACUUCUGCAUCCUGGUUUGUGUUGAGCUCUUUAGAAUCUUAGAUAUCUCUUCUACCUGCCAUUUUACUAAAAUAUGUUCCACCACAUAUUUAUCAGUUAACCAUUGUCAUUACAUGAGUGACACAUAUUCACAAAUCGGCUGAUCACUUAUUUUCCAUUAUGACUUGAUAUAUAAUUUGCAGACUCCACAAAUGAAGAAAAGAGCACAAAUGACGUUGGCAAACCUGAAACUUUCCCAUUGGGCAAUCAACAUUACUCCAGUCAAAAACAUUAUGGAGGCAUACCUGAAACUUCCCCAUUGGGCAAUAAACAUUACUCCAGUCAAAAACAUUAUGGAAGAGGCAAACCUGAAACUUUCCCAUUGGGCAAUCAGCAUUACUCCAGUCAAAGACAUUAUGGAAGAGGCAAACCUGAAACUUUCCCAUUGGGCAAUAAACAUUACUCCAGUCAAAAACAUUAUGGAAGAGGCAAACCUGAAACUUUCCCAUUGGGCAAUCAGCAUUACUCCAGUCAAAAAAAGUAUGGAAGAGGUGCUUCUCCAUCCGACAAUCAACAACUCCAUUAUAAAGACUUAGCUAUUUUCUUCUUGGAGAAGGACAUGCGCCCUGGCACAACAAUGAAGUUCCAAUUCC